ACCUGUGCUUCUGCCUUCUUUUGGCCUCACUUUAAGUUUCCUCCCAUGCCUAAGUGGAACCAUCCCCCUUUGCCCAAGUUUCCACUUCCCCCAUUCAAAGGCUUCCACCACCAUUAUCCAAUAAUCCCUCCCAUCUACAAGAAACCUCUUCCGCCACCGUCCCCGGUGUACAAGCCCCCUCCAGUUCCCGUAAACCCACCUGUUCCAAUCUAUAAACCUCCACCAGUUCCAGUCUAUAAACCUCCUCCAGUUCCAGUAAAACCACUUCCUCCACCUGUUCCGAUCUACAAACCUCCACCAGUUGAAAAACCACAUCCUCCACCUGUUCCAAUCUACAAACCUCCACCAGUUGAAAAACCACAUCCUCCACCUGUUCCAAUCUACAAACCUCCACCAGUUGAAAAACCACAUCCUCCACCUGUUCCAGUUUAUAAACCUCCACCAGUUGAAAAACCACAUCCUCCACCUGUUCCAGUCUAUAAACCUCCACCAGUUCCAGUAUAUAAGAAACCAUGUCCUCCACCAGUUCCAGUCUAUAAAUCUCCUCCGGUUCCAGUAUACAAGAAACCGCAUCCUCCUCCAGUUCCAGUCUAUAAGAAACCACAUCCACCUCCAGUUCCAGUAUACAAGAAACCAUGUCCUCCCCCAGUUCCAGUCUAUAAAUCUCCUCCAGUUCCGGAACCACAUCCUCCGCCAGUUCCAGUCCAUAAGCCUCCUCCAGUUCCGGUAUACAAGAAACGAGUCCCUCCUCCGGUUCCAAUCUACAAGCCCCCUCCAGUUCCUGUAUACAACAAACCACUACCUCCCCGGGUUCCAGUGUAUACGAAGCCACUUCCACCACCUGUUCCAACCUACAAUCCAAAACCCCUCCCUCCCAUUCCUUACAAGCCACUCCCUCCACUUCCCAAGAUCCCUCCAUUCCCUAAGAAGCCAUGCCCUCCCCUUCCUAAGCUACCUCCUCUUCCCAAGAUUCCUCCCAAGUAUUUCCACCACCACCCUCCUCUUCCUAAGCUGCCUCCUCUCCCUAAGAUUCCUCCCAAGUAUUUCCACCACCACCCCAAGUUCGGAAAAUGGCCUCCUUUGCCACCCUUUGCUCCCCAUCAUCCUUAAGCUAUCUUGCAUUGUUUUACGCAUUUAAUGAAGGUGGUUAGUGUGAACAAGUUCCCCAGCAGUACCUCAUGCAAUAAAUGUAGCAACAAAAGAAGAAGAAGAAAAUUGUUAAAAUUAAGAGAGGAAUUGUUAAUUUAUUAUUUAUAUGUUUUGUUAAUUACUUUAUGAUAUGAAUGUGUGAAUUUCUAAUUUUCUGUUGCAAUAAAUACCAGUACAUUAACUUUUCUUUUUCUUUUUCAUGCUCACCACCUUAUUUUGGCUUUCCGUGAUGCGAUGCUAACCUAAUUCACCAGUAUUAUGUAUCAUAUAAUUAAUGCCCCAACAAACCAAUAAAUAGUGUGGUCUUUUUUUAUCUGUAAUCUCACUGAAAAAAAAAUCUGCAGUCGUACUUGCCGCUAUUCAUCACUAUCACAGCACACCCAUCAUCUUUCUCAUCUCACCAUAAUUUUUCAUUUCUUUCUCUUCUUCUAUAUUCCUAUCCUAUCUUUUUCUAUGCACUUGAGAUUCCCAUUAAAACACCAAUAACCCAUCUAUUCCAAAAAAAAUUUGAAAAAUUUUGAUUUAUCAGAAUAACCUGAAAUAAUAAUUUUAUACUAUCAUUUCUCCUAUUUUAAAAUUGCCUAAUACUAUAAUACAUGAAGUCUAUCAUCAAACUUAAACAUUGUUUAACGUAUUUAUUUUUUUUAAAUCAAUUAUAUUUUUUUUUACAUGAAUAAAAUAUUAUGUAAGAUACCCAAAGUAGGUGUCCCAUUAGGUAAUCCAUAAAUUCAUGCCAUGAGCUUUUGGCCCAUGUUCUGACGGUAGCAGCACUGGGAUAGACGAUUAUUCCUUUUUAAUACCACUGGAAAACCUAAAAGAAUAUAUAAUAGACAAUUCUUCACAUAAAUUUUAGAAUAAACUAUCAACAUAUUCAUUUUUAUUUGUCUCAAAUUACAUUUUAGUUACUUAUAUUUAAAAUGUUAUAUAUUAGUCACUUACGUUAUCAUGUUGUAAUAUUUUAGUCACUGAACCGUCAAUUAUCGUUAAAGGUGUAACGGUAAGCUGACAUGACACGUUAAAUCAUCAUUUCAUAUGAAAAUUUUAGGUUAAAUUCUACAAUUAAUCCUUAUAUUUUUUUUUAUUUUAAGCUAUUUAAUUUUUUUAUGUUCUUUUAACUUUUAAGCAAUUUAAUUUUUUUCUUUUAUGUUCUUUUAACUUUUUUUUUCUUUUUUUUUCAUUCUCUUCUACUUCUCCCUCCGUUUUUCUCCCUUUUUCAUUUCUUUUAACGUAAUUUUCCUAUAUUUUCCGUUUAUUAAAACUAGCCCACAAGCUUGCCUCAUUCGAAAAAAAUUAAAUUGUUCAAAAAAAAUAAAAGUAUAGGGACUAGUUUUAACAAAAAAGGCAAACAUAGAAAAACUACGUUAAAGGAAAUGGAGAAGGGAGAAAAACAGAGGGAGAAGCAUAAGAAAAUGAAAAAUAAAGAAAAAAAAAGGACAGUUAAAAGAACAUAAAAGAAAAAAAUAAAUUGCUUAAAACAAAAAAAAUAUGGGGACCAAUUGUAUAAAUUAACCUAAAAUUUUUGUUUGAUAUGAUGAUUUAAUGUACUAUGUCAGCUUACAAUUACACCAUUAACGGUAACUAACAGCUUAGUGACUAAAAUGUUACAACACGACAACGUAAGUGGCUAAAACGUAACAUUUCAGACAUAAGUGACUAAAAUGUAACCUAAAGUAAAUAAAAAAUGAUUAUUUUAAUAGUUUACCCUUAAUUUUAAGCUUUGGUAAACUUGAAUUUAAAUUUCAUUAAUAUGUGAUAAUAUCAUACUUUAAAAUUAUGUUAAAUUAUCACCUUAAAUUUUUAACUUUUUUUAUAAAAUUUUGAAAAAUAAAAAAAUUUAAAUUUUUACCACAUCAUCACAUCUUAGUAGAAUCCAAGCUUAAUGGCUAAAGUAAAAAAAGCUUCCAAAUUUUGGGACUAAUAUGGAAAAAAAAUUCAAGGACCAAAAUAGAAAAAGUUGUCAUAUCUAGGAACUAACUAUUACUUUAUCCCUAUAUAUUAUAAAUAGUAGAAAUAAUAGGUUAAAUUUGGCUAUUAGUCUUUUAACCAUGUAUAAGUUACGGAUUUAGUUUCUUUAAUUAAAUUUGGUUAAUUUUAGUUCAUGUAUUUUUUGAAUUUUAGAGUUUCAGAGUAGUUAAAUCCUUUAGGUCAAGCUCUACUAUUAGUCCCAUACUAUCAUAGGUUGUGGGCUUAGUUUACGCUCUACAAUUGGAUAUUUUUGUCCUUGUAAUUUUCGAAUUUUGGAAAUUUGAUCUUUGACUCCGACAAUAGUCGUUAAACUAAUUAACUAAAAUGGCAUAACUUUUUUGUGAGUAUUAUGUGAAAAUAAUAAUUUUUGACAUGGUAUUGCAUAUGUGGUAAUAUUUUUGUCGCAUAAAAUUUUAAAAAUAAUUUAACUUAACAAAUUUAACAUUCAUCGUUUAAUCAAAAUUGAAAUUUCAAAAUUUUGGUUGGUAACAGCACAAUUCUGAAACAUGGAUUGUAAAUUCCUAGGUGAUUAAUAAAACUCCAGAAAUAUUUCUGCUCAAAUUAAGUGUAUAGUAAAGGUCUGAAUUUUGGUGGCAUUAAUUGAGGGAUUGAUGUGAUAUUUAAGUAGCAAUUAAAUUGCUUAUUGUAGAAGGACUUGGAUGGUUAUAUUACCAUGUUAAUCAGAGAAUGAUUGUCUUGUAAUUUGUACAAUCUAUAAAGAACUCAAUGUACCACUAAUUCUAAGGACUUAUUUUAAGUGAGGAGACAAUUAAACCUUUUACUUGCUUUAGUGAGUUUCAUUUACCAACUUCAUUUACUAUAAAUUGCCUAUUGGUUUGAUAAAAAAAUUUAUACUCGGUAUAAUUUAUUACAAAUGUUUCAUAUUUAUACUAAUGUUAUUCAAAUUUUAACUUACACAGGAAACACUUCUAUUGGCGGAGUGGCUUAGUAUCAAGACGGAAACUGGAUUUUGAGAUUCAACCGUCACUUAGGCUAAUACACACCUUUUGAAGGUGAACUCUAAGGUAUUCUCGAUGGGAUUCUCUUCCUACUUAGUAGAGGAUACAAACGGGCUACAAUUCAAUCUGACAAUAUAGAAGUGAUUCUGCCCUAACUAAUAAUAGAUUGGAAGAUUCAAGCAUUACAAUGCUUAGAAGGGGAUGACGACUUUUGAGAACUGAAGGACAAUAGUGGCUACAACAUAUACCUAGAGAAGAUAAUAUUAUUACAGAUCACUUGGCAAAGUUGAGACUUACGUGGAAAACAAGCUUACAAAUCUUUGAUACCAUUCCUAAUGAAGUUUUGGAUAUUUUUCAACAGGAUAAAGUGAGAGACAUUUUUUAUCUUUUUAAUAAGAUGUAACAUUGUUGUGUUUUUUAUUACCAAAAAAAAUAAUGUGCAAUGAUUAAAUUUAAGGAUAAAAGUAAAAAAUAAAAAACAUCAUAAUUUAAAAUUUAUUUCCAUAAGGUAAUCUAAUCACAUUCGGCGCUUAAUUUUAAAUAAUACAUUAAAUAUGUUUUAAAUUUUAUUUAGUUAGAAAAAGAAAGAAUAAAAUAAAAAGAGAAGAAAUAAUAAAUAUUUGUGUGUUUAUGUAAUAUAUUUGUUAUCAUUAUCGUAUCAAAAGUAAUAAUGAUAUAUUAGCAUUUCAUUAGAUAAAAUGAUACAGAAAUAUUAGGUAUGUUAUUAAUUAUUAUGUGAUAGUAAUAAAAACAGUUUAUUUCUGCAUGUAAUUCUACUUCUACUUUUCCUUUAAAAUAAGUAUGAUAUAUAUAAAAUAAAAAUUAAUUUAUGAUUAUUUUUAUGAUUUGGAAAUGGGUAGGGAGUAUUCCAAUAAAUUUGGUUUUCUCGCAACAUUGAAACGAUACAGCAUCAAGAACGAGGUUAACUUCCACGUGGUUAAAUCCAAAUCUGAGAAGUUCAAAGGGAAAUGUACAGUGCAAGACGGCAGCUGCUCAUGGAAAAUCAUAGGUUCUAUUAGGAAGAAGACGGGGUUAUGGACAAUUAAAAGUUCACCGGUCUACAUACAUGUGUUGCCUCUAGUACAUUAUUAUUGGGUUUUUAGGGUUUUAUUUAGGUUUAAGGUUAUUCCAAUUAUUUUUACGUACUAGUGGGGUUAUAGGUAUUUCAUGGGAUAAUCCAAAGUUGAAUUCGGAUAUGAUCGCGAGCAUAAUACUAUCGAUGGUGAAAACGGAUCGAAGGACUAACGUGUCGGUUUUAAUUGCCAAUAUUUGUAGCCAAUUCACUUAUACGUCUUUGUACCACAAGGCGUGGAUAGCUAAACAAAAGGCCUUGGAGAAGAUGCACAAUGGCUGGGACGCGUAAUGCAACGAGGUAUGGUAGUGGUAUUAAAUGCUAGAGAGAUACGUACCUAGUUGCAUAACAUAUCUUAAAACGGAUCUCACUUGGUGUGUCAUUGAAAUCACCAAAAAUAACCUAUCCCUAUGACAUAGCGAAAAGAACAGUAUAAGGGAAGUAGGGUCAAAUCCUUAAGGACUAGAUUGUUACAACUUCGUAUUCCUCGAAAUCCUGGGCACAAUUGUACCCAAGAAAAACGACGUACUUGAGAAAAAUUAAAAAAAAAAGACAGAAUUAAAAAUAUGGAUGAGUUGAAAUUGUAUAAAUUGAAAUUGAAAUUGAAAAAAGAAACAGAAUUGAGGAAAUGGAUUCUUCGAUUUAAGGGAUCCCAGCAUCCGGUUAGCUUGAUCCUCCUUAGGUUCAAUCCUAGGCUUUUAGGUGAUUUUUCUCAUAACAAAAUAAGCCAGUUAUAAUGGAAGAUGACGCCUAUGACCACCAGCUCCAUUUAGAUUUUAGACUUACGAUUUAGAGGAACCUGACUCUAGCCAACCGUCACUUUUGUGGGACCGUCUUACACUAGAUUUUCAUUUCUCAAUAGCGAAUGCCACGCCAUUUUGUCUCUUGAGCUCGACAACAUCUGACGCAGUAAGUUAACAAACCAACUGUGUAACCUUCCCAAAACAUAAAAAGUGACCGCCUUUGCACAAAAUGAAAAGAUCACUUUUUGGAAGGACAUGGGCGGAAGCAUCAGUCCGGUAAUGUGGAGAAACAAUGAAUACCCGUUGAGAAUGCUAAGUGCUGGUUCUAAGCUUCAUGAACCUUUUUCUGAAGAAUCUCGAUAACCUUUAGUUAGAUGAGUUUAGUGACUCAUGCUUUUCGGGAAAAAAAUAAGUUUAAUGGAAUAGAAUUUUAUUGAAAAUUAAAAGGAACAAAAAGCUAAGAGCUUUAGGGAGAAAGAUUUUUCUACAAAAAAUGAUGAGUGAAUAUCCAUGUCACUCCAUCCCCUAUUUAUAGUACAUAGAAAACCUAGUUUGUUCCUAUUUAAACUCUAAAAGAUAAAUAAAAAUAUAAUUUAAAACUAAAUAUAAAUAAUAUUAUAAUAAUCCUAACAAUAAUCCUAAAAAUAAAAUUCCAAUUUAAAUGGAGUCUUCUGUUCAUAAAUCUCUUCUUUGAAUUUUUGCCCAAGUCUUUUGCACUUUGAAUUUUCGGCAUCACUUCUUCUCUAUUUUGCAUGCUGACUUUUUUUGUCUUUAAAUUCAUGUUUUUUUCCCCCAAAGUUCCUUUUGCCUUCAAUUUAAUCCCUACAAGAUAAAAAACCAUAAAAAGCCCAAAUUAGUAGGAUCAUACACAAAAUAUAUAUGUAAUUAACAUAUAAAAGUAUGUCAUUUUAGAGUAUUAUCAUAUUCCCCUCUACUUAGCCAAUGCUUGCCCUCAAGUAUGAUUCUUAUCCUACUGUGUAAUUUAGAUUUUACCAUGAAAGAAGUAUCAUUCCAAAUUUUUAUAAAAAUUAGGCAUAAUUCUUAUGAAAAUAAAGAGAACCCUUAGCUUGCUUUAAGUAAAACCGAAAAAGUACUCCAAUUUAAACACACAAAAGUUAAAUCGACUUGAAUUAUUUCAUGAAAAUUAGAUAAUUUACUAAACUUACUAAGACACCCUUUUGUUCUACACUUAGUCCCCAAAUGCAAUUAUUUUUUUUCGUAGUUUUUUUUUCUUAAGAAUAUAUUGGCCCUUUUGAUGUGAAGAGAGAUGACAACCCAAGCACCGCACCCCGGUUACUUAGCCUAACACAUUCCUAUUUUAUUAUUAUUAUUUGGUUAAGAAUGUUUUGGCCCUUUUGACGCGAAGUGGGAUGACAACCCAAGCACCCCACCUAGUUAUUCAGCCUAACACACUCUUUUUUUUUGUUUAAUUUCGGUUAGCGGAGUUUUACGUAACACGUCACACAACCUUUUGACGUGAAGUAGGAUGACAACUCAAGCACCCUACGCCGGUUACUCAAUCAGUCAUGUUUUAAGUUGUGCUCAUAACCAAGGAAUCUUCAGAUUUUGUUUUAUUUUAUUUUUUUAAUGAAACAUAAAUUCAAUUUUGGAGGACUAGGAAAAACAAUCAAGUGUCAAAAAUAAGUUUUGGCAAUUACCUAUCAGUCAUGAAAAUAAAUUUAGCAUACAUUUGUAUUAAGUGUCCUAUUUGCAUUUAGACUUAAUCAAUUCUACUAUAAACAAGAUAGGAUUAACUUCAUUAAUCAUAAUUAUUUUAGCCUAAUAGAGAUAAAACAGUAGAGAUUAUAUCAAUAUAGCAAUAUCAUAACUAACUUAGUAGACAAAAAUCAUGCUCGCAGGUCAAACAAUGGGUAAUUCCUAGUCACAAUCUUGGGCAUGAAAAAAGUCAAGAUAUACAAAAAAAAAAUGUGGGCAAAAACAAGCAUAAGGCAGUAGCAACAGUAACAAAACAACGGAUAAAAUAGAAAAAACAAUAAGGAAUGCCUCCCCCUACUUAAAACACAUUGCCCCCGAUGUGAAAAAUAAUAUUAACAAAUAUGAUGAAAAAGAAAGGGUUUAGAACAUUCCCUAUGCCGUUUUCAUUACUAUUUUCGCCACCCGUUUCCAAUUUUUUUUUAUUUCAUCGAUUCUCUUGGAUAUAAAAAGAUAGAUAAAAUUUAUUAACAUGCAAAAAAAUAAAAAUAAAAAUAAAAAUAAUAUAUAUAAAUAAAAUUGUAUUGCCUCCCAACAAGCGCUUGUUUAACGCCGUUAGCUUGAUGGCCCAAUUAGUAUUGAGGCUGUUCUUGCUGAAUUUUUUUGAUCGUAUGGAUUUGAAAAUUCUCCUUUCUUACCACAUUCAACAUAUUUUGGUUCAAUCGUCUUUGUGCCUCUCAUUUUGGUUUCUUAUUUUUCUCCAAGAAAAUCUUAUGUGUGCAUGUCAUAGGGCUAAUCCCUUUUAAGUUAGUAAUGGUCUCAUCAUUCUCCAAAAAUGCGCACUUGAGAUGCUCAGUAAGUGGUAUUAAUUAAAAACCUGGUGCCUGCACAAUAAAAGGUUGAAGUUUAGUAUUCAUAGGAGCCGAUAAUUCAUUAACAGAUUCACAAAUAAAUCCUAAAUCGAAAUUAUCAUUAAACAACAUUUCAAGUUUAUCUUCAUAAGGUGACUCAAAAGUUUCUUCUACUAACGAGUCAAUUAUGUCGACACGGUUUACGUUUAAGAUUUCACUCGGGUGACUAAUAGCGUCGUAAACGUUAAACUUUACAAUCUCCCCGUCAAACUCCAUUGUGAAGUUUCGCUACGCACGCCUAUCUUAAUACUUACGGUAUUAAGGAAAGGUCGCCCCAACAAGAUGUUCGAAGAUCUAGGAGCAUUAUCCUCUUCCAUUUUCACCAUAUAAAAGUCCACAGGAAAGAUAAGUCUGUUGACUUUCACUAAUACGUCCUCAAGGACUCUUUUGGGAUGCACAAUAGACUUGUCUACUAAUUGAAUGAUAACACCUGUUUUUAUUGAAAAACUCAUUUUAAGUGAUUCAUUAAUAGAAAAAUGCAUUACAUUUAUGGAGGCCCCUAAAUCACACAUAGCUUUUUUAAUUCCUAAGUGACCUAUUUUGUACGGUAUUACAAAUAUGCCCCUAUCUUUACAUUUUGCUGACAUCUUUCGCUGCAACACCACAAAUGUAUUUUCACUAACACUUACUCUUUCAUUUCCAGUUAAUUUUUGCUUGUUGGUACAAAGCUCCUUAAGGAACUUGGCAUAUCGCGGAAUUUAUUUAAUGACAUCCAAUAACGGUAUGUUAAUCUCAAGAUUUCUAAAUGUUUCGAGGAUCUCUUUUUCCUCCUUACCUCUCCGAUGUUGGUUCAACCAUCUUGGGAAUGGAGAUUGAAUUAUGGGCAAUGCAGGUUUCGUUCGGACCUGUUCAUCGGUCUUUUACUUUUUCUGCACGGAAUCUUGAUCAAGAUUUUUGUUAGGAUUUGGUUCCAAUACUUUUCCACUUCGCAACGUCACUGCAUUUGCGUGUUGUCUUAGGUUAGGUUCCAUUUAUAACGACGGCUUUCCUUAUGAAUUCAUUUUCUCAAUUGAUAUGGUCAACUCUCUCAUAGGCGCCUCAAUUUUCUGUUGAAAAUCCUAUGUUUUCUUCUGAAAAUCAACAGUUUGUCAUUGUAUUUGUUGUUGGAAAUCAAGCGCAUUAGAUACUAAUUUAUUGACCAUGGUUUCUAGAGAGGUACCUGAAUCUCGCGUUUGUUGUGGAAAUCGAUUUUGGUAUAGCUGAUUAUACUGUAGGUUAGCCUCAUAACUCAAGUUAGGAUGGUCUUUUCAUUCUGGGUUAUAUGUACUUGCAUAAAAGUCAUAUCGAAUUUGGGACGGUCCAAAAGAGUUCCCCACAACAUCUAAAUAGGCCACAAUAUCGUUACAUAAACUGGGACAUGCAUCAGUUGUAUGUUAGAGUGUUGCAAAAAUUCCACAUAGUUGGGUUGGUCUUGCUUUUUUUUUUUGCAACAAGAGAAUUCACGAUAUUAUUAAGUCUAUCAACUUUAUUUUCUAAAGUUGAAUUACUUAGCUGGUGAACCCUUCUAGUGGGUUCAAGAUUGGCUCGGAAUUAUUGUGUAUUUGCAGCCAUCAUGGGGAUCAAGUCCUUUUCCAGUCGGGGGUCAUGUUCUGUUAUCCCAUGUUGUAGGCAACUUGUACACAACUUUUUAAAUCACUCUCAAUAAUAGUAAAAAGAUUUUACAUCUUUUUGUCUUAUCCCAACAAUCUUCCUCCUUAACUCAACUGCACACGAUGUUGGGAAAUAUCUGUUAAGAAACAAAUGGGAAAGAUCAAUCCAAGUUGUGAUAGAUCCAAGAGGCAGAUAAAAUAACUAUUCCCUAAAAAAUCUGUUAAGGAAAAAGGGAAAACACGUAAUUUAAUUUGAUCCUCAAUUACGUCCUGAGAUUUCAUACUAAGACAAAUCAUAAGAAGCUCUUUCAAAUGUUUGUGUGGAUUCUCAUUUUGCAAUCUGCGAAAAGUCAACAAUAACUGGAUUAAUCUUGACUUCAGUUUAAAAUUAGUAUUCAUAGUAAGAGACGAAAUACAUAACAACUGUUUUUCUGUAGGAGCUUUGGCCAUUUGCCGAAUUAUUUGAGCCAUAGGUUGUUGUGCUAGAUUUGAGUUUAUGUUAACCCUAGCAUUAGACAUUUCUUUUAGUGGAUCGACUCAUAUCCUUUCGUUCUCCAAUGUUUGAGUAGGGUUUCGUUAACCUUAGACUCAAUUUCGUCGCCUGCUUCUAUUUUCGACGGUGGGUUACUCUGAGUUCCUACCACCUCUGAAUGCUUUUUUCGUAGCUUCGUUUCCUUGCGAUUAGCUCUUGCAGUCUUUUCUAUUUUUGAAUCGAACGUAAGAUUUCCUGGAGUAGAUAUGGUCAUAAGUAAAAGAAACAAGAUUAGUACGUUACUAGUCCCCGACAACGACACCAAAAUUUGGUACGUCGUUGGAAGCACAAAAAAUAACCUAUCCCUAUGAAAUAAUGAAAAGAAUAGUAUAAGGGAAGUAGGGUCAAAUCCUCAGGGACUGGAUAGCUACAACUUCUUGUUCCUUAAAAUCCUAAGAACAGUCGUGCCUAAGAAAAACGGCGUACCUGGAAAAAAUAAAAAAGAUAGAAUUAAAAAUAUGGACGAGUUGAAAUUGUAUAAAUUGAAAUUGAAAUUGUAAAAAGAAACAGAAUUGAGGAAAGAGAUUCUUCGAUUUGAGGGAUUCCAACCUUCUAUUAUCUUGAUCCUCUUUGGGUUCAAUAUUAGGCUUUUAGGUGAUCAUUUUCAUGAUAGAAUAAGUCAGUUAUAGUGGAAGAGGACUCCUACAACCACCGACUCCACUUAGAUUUUAGACUUACGAUUUAGAGGAACUUGACUCUAGUUAACCGUCAAUUUUGUAGGACUGCCUUACACUAGAUCAUCAUUUCUCAAUGGCGAAUGCCAAGCCAUUUCGUUUCUUGGGCUCAACAACUACUGACACAGUAAGUUAGCGAACUGACUUUGCAAUCUUCCCAAAAUAUACAAAGCGGUUGUUCAUUGCACAAGAUGAAAAGAUCAUUUUUGGAAGGACAUAAACAAAAACAUUAGUCCCGUAAUAUAGAGAAACGAUGAAUACUCGUUGAAAAGGCUAAGUGCGGGUUCUAAGCCUCAUGAACCUUUUUUAGGAAUCUCGAUAACCUUUGGCUAGAUGCGUUUAUUGGCUCAUGCUUUUAGGGGAAAAAAAGUUUAAUGAAAUGAAAUUUUAUUGAAAAAUAAAAGGAACAAAAAUUUAAAAGCUUUAGGGAGAGGGAGUUUUUUUUAUAGAAAAUGAUGAGUGAAUAUUCAUGUCACUCCAUCCCAUAUUUAUAGUUAUAGAAAACCUAGUUUGUUCCUAUUUAAACUCUUAAAAGAUAAAUAAAAAUAUCAUCUGAAAUUAAAUCUAAAUAAUAUCAUAAUAAUCCUAACAAUAAUCCUAAAAAUAAAAUUCGAAUUUAAAUAGAAUCUUCUGUUCAUAAAUAUCUUCUUUGAAUUUUUUCCCUAAGUCUUUUGCACUUUGUAUUUUUGGCACCAUUUCUUCCCUAUUUCACAUGCUGACCCAUUUUGUCUUUAAAUUCACACUUUUUGCCUCCAAACUUUCGUUUGCCUUUAAUUUAGUCCUUACAAGAUAAAAAACCAUAAAAAUACCCAAAAUUAGUGGGAUAAUACUCAAAAUAUAUAUGCAAUUAACACAUAAAAUUAUGUCAAUUUAGAGUAUUAUCACUUGUUACAUGGUUGUUGAGUGUUCAAAAGUCUGUUUUAGACCUUCAAGCAAUGCUAGGAUGUAUCCUAAUACUAUAAGCCCUUGGUACAAAUAGACGUUACCUACAUGUAUGGUAGAUAUACCUAUCGACUUUUGUUGGCUGUGGCACAGGAUGGUAAUUGGAGGAUCUUUCCAAUUACAUUUGCAAUAACAUCGAGGGAGAAAGCAGAUGAUUGGGAUUUAUUUUUGUCUAGGUUGAAGGGGCAUGUCUGUCCCUAGCCUGAUAUAUAUGUCAUAUCAGAUCAGGGAGUUGGAAUAUUAUCCGUAAUUGAAUGAUAGGGAAACCUCUGGGAUCGCACACACCAUCGGUACUGCCUAAGGCACGUUACAUCCAACUAUUACCAGCAAUAUUGGUUUACCAUUGAGCUACAAUAAAUAUUGAACAUGAGUAUCUGAUUGCCACCAAUAUUAUUUGGUUAGUAAUGUUUUGUUUUUAUUUUUAUAUUUUUUUGGUAAGUAACUGUCGCUAUGUACUUAUAUUGAUAGGGUACAAGUUCAUGAAUGAUCGUUUUCAUGAGAUGUUGGCAAUAUUGCGAUCAAUUAACUCGGCAAGGGCAGUAUAUCUCGAAAACAUACCAUUUAAAAAAUGGACACAAGCAUACGACCACGGGUUACGAUAUGGCCACAUGAUAUUGAACCUGGCAGAAUGCAUCAAUUCUGUUUUAAAGGGAACGUGUCAUUAGUUGAUAACAGUAGUUGUGAAAGAGAUAUACUUCUGUCUGGCAGAACUGUUCCCAAAGCGAGCGAUGAGUUAUGCCAGGAAAUUACAGUGAGGCCAUGUAUAGUGCUUGGUGGUAGUGGAAGAAAUUAAUAAUGGUAAGGUACGUGUAAAUUGCAUGUAUGUAGCUUGUCACUUGCGCGAAGACUUAUGGUUUCAGAUGACAGAGUUCAACAGGUCAGACCAAUGUAUAGCCAGGGGGUGUACCGGGUACACUUGAGAAAUAUGACUUAUGACUGUGAGAUAUUUGAUUCACUUCGUUAUCCAUGCGCUCAUACAAUUGCAAAUUGUAUGAAUCUCCGUAUGGAUCCAAUAGGCUUUGUUGACGAAGUGUACAAAUUAGAAAACUCAUACAAUGUGUGAAGACACGUAUUUCCACUAGUCUCAGAUGAACGUAAAUGGCUGCCUAUAUUGCUUGCUCUAUUUAAGUUGUCACCCGGUCGAGAUUUACAUUGCAAACCAAAAUGUCGACUGUACUUGACUUGAAUAUGCAACGACAUGGAUAUUCAGGAGCGCUCAAACCAACAGAGGUUAUGCGGGUGGUGUAGGAACCUGGGUCAUACAAUGUCGUCCUGUCCACAUCGAAGUUAAACAUUAUAAUAUGUCUUUAUGGGAAUUUCUAGCCAUUGUUAAUCCAAAAUAAAUUCAAUAUUUUUUCAUGUAAAUUUUCAACAAAAACAUUUGAUAUUUUUGUUCAAAUCAAAUCUUAUUACAAUGCUAUGUGAAAAUAUUUUAAGUAAAUUUGAAUUUUAAUUAGGGUUUAAUGGAUAGCUAAAUUAGAUAGUGUACCAAAAAAGAUUCAAAAGAACUUAUAUUGUAACACCCCUUACUCGUAUCCGUCGCCAGAACAGGAUACGAGGUAUUAACAAAUCAUAGUACAUACUAUUAAAUAAAACCGAGACAAAAAUAUGGCGUGCAAUUAGAUCAUGAAUCAUUAUAACAUAUGCCUUUAACAAUACUAGCCAAUUUCAAAGGCUUCGUACAAAAUAAUCGGUCAAAUAACUAAGUCUACUAUACAUGCCAUAAUUCAAAAUGUUCAGUUCAAAUACCCAAAAGUAUUGAUAGUGUAGGCAGAUCUUUAACGAUCCUUGACUCUUGUGCGAGCUGGACGACACUAUAAGACAAAAGAGAGAAAAGAAAGUAAGCUUAUAGCUUAGUAAGCAAGUAUAUAAAUAAUGAAUAAAGAAUUUAAUAUGUUUACACAAAAACUCAAGUGUAUCUACUUUUAAUUUCACAAUUUACUCCACUUUGGUCAAACUGUCUCUCCUGCGUCAUAUUCACUAAAUAAAUCAUAACUCAAGUUACAAAACUCAAAAUUCAAAUCCGUAAAAUUUCCCUGAAACUAUACUCAUAUUACUUCUUAUUAAAUUUUUUUUCUAGAAUUUUUGGUCCAUCCAAUUAGUACAGUUUAUUAGUUAAAAUUUCCCCUGUUAUACAGCUCGACUGAUCUGACCUUUGUUCACUACGAAUUGAAUUUCUCCCAGUAAAUAAUUCAAAUAGCCAGUAAAUUUGUUUCAUUUAAAACUAGACUCAAUAAGGAAUCUAGAUAUAUAAACUAUAUUUCUUAAUUUGUUUUGUACAAUUUUUAAUGAUUUUUCAAAGUUAGAACAGGGGAUCACAUAGUCCUUCUAAGCGAGUCACACUCAAAUAUAAAUAUCUCAAAAUAUAGAGUUUCUUUACUUUCUCUGUUUCUUUUAUAGCUUUAAUUUCAUAUCUCAUUAACCCUCUAAGUAAAUUCCUACUAUUUUUUGUGAUUUUUCAAAUUCACGUCACUGCAACUGUCCAAAACAGUAUUAUUGCUAAUUCAUUCUUUCACACUUUCUUUGUAUUAACCUCAUUUUAACAUGCAUAUCACAAUUCAUUUUCACCACAUUUCAUACAUCACAAGUAUAGGUCCAUGAUUACAAUGUCACCAUAAAACCAUCCCGUUGAACAAUUCGGAUCAAUCCUCGAUACUUGAUGGUUUCAGCACACAGCCCCACCAUUAUAUUUCAUAUAAUUCGGCUCUCUUGUACACAUGGUGAACACUUAGUACCACCCAUGUAACCUAGCCAAUUUAUCUCGUAGCUCUCUUGUCUAUAUGGUGUACUUCACUUGGAGUCACACAUGCAACCUAGCUACAUUUAUCCUCUCCCGUAGCUCUCUUGUCUACAUGGGAUACAUCCAAUAUCACACAUGCGACCUAGCUACUACAUAGUAUCUUGUAGCUCUCUUGUACACAUGAUGUACACUCAGCACCAUACAUGUGACCUAGCUACGUUUCAUCUAUAUUAUUCAAUCUUUUUGAAAGUUCAACCGGGAUUUCUCUCGCUAUUACUUAUUUCCAUUCUUCCAAUAGUCGAUUUAUGAUUCAAAAUCAACUAAAAUAUAUAAAAUAGGCUGAAAUAUAAAAAUAUAAAUGAAUUUAAUGUAUUAUUUACAUACAAACUUACCUCGGUGCAAAAUAUGGAAAUUUUGCAAUUUAGUCCAAAACCUUUUCCUUCCCCCGUUCGAGGUCGAUUCCACGCCUUUCUUGAUCUAUAACAACACAUUUAGCUCAUUUAACACUCAUACUAUUUAUUUCAAUCCAAAAAUCACAUUAUGGAAAAAUUACAUUUUUGCCCCCUAACUUUUACAAAAUUACAAUUUUUCCCCUAGGCUCGGAAAUUUAAUUUCAGCCCUUAUUCUUAUGUUUUAUGACAUGCUGAACAUUUUUCUCUUCUAUGACAACAUCAAAUUCUCACUCUAACAUGAACGUAUGAGCAUUAGGUAUUUUUACCGAUUAUUCCGUUUUGCUCGUUUUCGCUAAAAAUCACUUAGAAAAGAUCGUUCUCCUAACCUCAAACAUUCAUAUACUACCAUCAAACAUCAAAAUACAUGCAUAUCAUUCAUGGGUAAAUUUUUAAACAUAAACCCUAACUCGAAAUAAUGGUAGAAAUAGGUAAACCGAGCUACGAGGAUUUCAAAAAUGUAAAGAACAUUAAAAACGGGGAUUGAGUGCACUUACUAUUGAGGUUGAAAUCUUGAAACAAACCCUAGCUAUGGAGAACACGCAAGUUUCGGCCAAGCUAAAUGAAGAUGAACACAUUUUUGUGUUAUUUUUUCCAUUUUAUUUCAUUUAAUAUGCAAAUGACCAAAAUGCCCUUACUACUAAACUUUCUAAAAAAUCCAUCCAUGUCCAAAUUUUUGUCCGUAUAAAGUAUAAUGGUCUAAUUUUCAUUUAAGGACCUCUACUUAAAACCCCCAUUUCAUUCAAGUACUUUAUGAACUAGAACACACACAUUUUUCACCUAUUUCAAUUUAGUCCUAAACGUCAAAUUAAACACCCAAUCGAUGAAAUUUCGCAACGAAAUUUUCACACAAUUAUGCAAUCAUAAUAUAAACACUAAAAAUUAAUUAAAAUAAUUUUUUUUCAACCUCAGAUUCGUGGUUUCAAAACCACUGUUCCGUUUUGGCCCUAAAUCGGGCUGUUACAUAUAUUAAUUUAAAUGAUACAAUUUACAAUUCAUCAGUGCAUAUGCUGAUCAGAAUCUGUGCCACAUUGAGGUGAUCGACAGUUACGCGCUGGAUUCCUUUUAUGUUCAGCUUCUGGCUGAGGUUAUGGUUGUCGAGGUUUACCUUCGGUCGAUGUAGAUCUUUGCAUUUGUGCAACUUUCGGUCUAUACUUAGGUGGUUGGGAAGAUGACCCACCUUGAUAAAACAAAUAUGUCGGAAGUGUCUGCGUCACCCAGGGCGAAUGGGAGUAAGACCCAUAAGCCGAUAGGAUAACAAGUGGACUUUCUGCCGAUGCCUCAUGCAUAGAUGGCCUAUACAUUAUCGUAUGCAUCACCGUCAUUUGGAAAUGUGAUGGCCUGGGCAUGUACCACAUCGGUGAUAGAUGACCAAUAAUCCAAAUUGAUAGUACACUCACCAACAAUCCAAAAGUUUGUAAUAGACGGUCCCCCAAUUAGCAGACUAAAUAGACUCGGUGGCUACCGAUUCGUCCACGGGUAACCUAACUGUUACUGCACAUCCUCUAGAGUGAUAGUAUACUCACCGCAUGGAAGAUGAAAUGUGUGCGCCUUUGGUCUCCACCUCUCCACCAACGUACUUAUGAGUUUCGGGUCCAACUUAUGCCCCAGCCUAAGUAGGCCACAUAGAAAAACACCAACUUCCCUCAAGUAUGUUUCGAUCAAUGGUGAUGGAAUACCAAGUAGAUUACGAAUAUGACAUUGCAAAAUUCGAUCUUCCACCUAUUUACAUGAAACAGUUAUAAAAAAUAUUAAGUUCAAUUAUAACUAUGAAAUAAAAAAAUUAAAAUUUUUUAAAUUUAAAAUUUAUUCUUACCAUUUGCAAUUGAUUGACGAAGAUGUGCUUGUCAUCAAGACAGAUUAGGGACCCGACUAUUGCUAAAUUGAACAUGAACAAAUUUUUAAUAAAAAUACUAUUCUUGGAAUUACCAAUAAAAAAUAAUAAUAAUAUUAACUUAGAUAAAAAUAGAAUUUAGGAUAAUAAUUUGAGAGCUUUUUGAGAAUUGUGAGAAAUUUGAGAAAUUAGAGGAGAAAUUGUGAAAAUUGUGUUGGGGGGUUUUAUAAUUUUUUUUGGGACCGUUAGGGGUCCAAUGGCUAGUUCAAAUAGCCGUUGGAGCACAGACAAAAGCAUGCCCACAUGGAUGUUUUUUUACAAAAAAUACUUCCACGUAAGCGCGUUUUACUUGUCAUUAGCAAAAAAAGGGCUAAGUUGAACCUGCUUUUUUGCGUUUUCCCUGAAAACGACACCAGCUCAGUGCGCUUUUGUGAAAACGGACCAUUCUAGUCAUUUUUGAAAAAAUUGACUCAUUUCUGUAAUUUUUUUUUAAAAAAUGGCUUUAUCAGGACAAUUGGUCCUGUGUGUACCAUUUAUGCAAGGAUUUGUUAUCUUGCACGUCUCUAAUUUUAAACCUAAGACUCCUGCAAAUAUUUAAUUUCAAAUCUACAACCUCUCAUAUAGAAAUUCUGAUAUCACAUAAUGAUAAUUUACAUUAAUCACUUAAAAUAAAAUUAUUAAAACAUAAUUAAUGUUAAUAUUCAUGUGGAGUGUUGUUGGUUAAUUAAGUUAAAAGAGAGGGCAGACCCAAUAGAAAGAAGCAAGCAGAAGGCGGGGGUUGAUUUUGUUAGCCCAUGUUUGUUUAUUGGGCCAAAGACUACCAGAGGGUUUUACUUGUUGAUGGCAUCCCAACUAACUCAUCAUCCUAUCUCUAUUCAUUUUUUGUCUGUUUAUCGCAAUCACAAACCUCUACAUACAUGUAAGAUGAUUAUUCAACCAAGAUUAUCUUUCCCUGUGAAAAUCAAAGGCAUAUUCGUCCCCCUAGAUUGGCAUCUAUCAUUCAUUUCUGCUUAACCAAUCACAUAUUUUACUUCAUGCUAACGCCCAUUCCCAAGCAAAAGCAGCAGAGCAGAGCAUAAAGGGUGGUUGGAGGGACACCAUAGGUUUCAUCGAGAAGCUAACUGCAAUAUUAUAAUAAUAUAUGUUUUUUUUUUUUGCAGACACGAGAUGCUAAAAUAAGCUUUGUGAGGCAGGGGGUCCGUUAUUACAAAUUUCUCAAUUUUAAAGAAUAAACUAAUCUCUUUCAUAUAAAUUAUAGCCAUUUAAUCUUUGUGUAGAAUAAUUAAUUAAAUAUAAUUUUAGUUGGUUUAAUAAUAAAUUUAACUCAUAAAAUUUAUAAAAUUUAUUAAUUUGAAUUCUAAUUUCACAAAUUCAUCUCACUACAUUUGUAUAAUUGUGUAAAUAUUAAUAUUAAAUUUAUUGGACGUUUUAAAAUUAAAGUUAAUAUGACAAAAAAUAUAUAAAUAUUAAAGAUUAAAUUUAUUAAUAAUAGAAGAUUGUAAUUAAUUAUCACUUUAAAAUUUGAUAAAGAUUAAAUUAUUUUAAUCUUUUAAAAAAUAAUAAAUUUACUUAUUUUUAAAAUUAAAAAUUUGAAAAGGAUUAGAGAAUGGAUUUUUACCUAGCAUGCUCCAUGUCUGAAGCAGUGUCGCUCUCUCUCUCUCUAAGGUCUAAAUCAGUCUUUUUGAGUUUUAACUUAUUAAUAUCUUUUAGUGAUAGCUUAUUAUUUAUGAAAAUAAGCCGCAUCAUUUAAAGAAACAAAGAAAGGAAAAUAAGCGGAAGAGUGGCUUCCCGCUGCCCCGCAUCUCAUCUCAUACCUUGUGAAAUUUUUUAAUUAUUAGUAAACCUGCGGGAUUGCUGGUGGUGUAGGAAUUAACCUCAACUACAACCCCAUUUUCUUAGUUUUCUCUUAGCUUUUUUUUUCUUACAUUUGGAUCAUCUAUGAUAUGGUUUUUUUUAUUGAUAUAACACAUAAACAUAAUACAAAUGAUUACAUAUUAAAAUUUUAAAUUUAAAUAUAAUGUUAAUAAAUUUCAUUUUAUAUUACCUAGAAAUAUUUAAUUAUGAAUUUUAUCCUUUUAUUUUAUGAAUUUUUUUUUGUAAUCUAAUCUAAUAUUGUUAAUCAUUAUCGACCUAAAGAUAAGCAAUUUAUAAUUUAUAUCCAAAGAGCUAAUAAAAGUUAGCAGACAUAUGUAAUAAAUUAGCAAAAAUCAAAUUUACAUAACAUGAACGGUGCCAAGAGGACUAGCAAGUGCCCUAGCUCCUUUAAAAUUAAAAAAAAAAAUUAUUUCAAUCCCUUGAAAUUUUUAAAAUUAUAAAUUAUUUUAAUUGUAAAAAUACAUUUUACCCUAAGAUGAAAAGAAUUUAAAUUUAAGAAAAAAGAAAAUGCGAUUUAAAAUUUUAGAAAUUAAUUUUGACAUGUGAGAAAUAAAAUAUAGAGAGGAAUAACUCAAAUUUGGUAAAACAGUAGGAGAAAAUUGAAAUUUAAAGCGGAAAAAAUAGUAUAGGUAUAAAAAAAAAAAAAAAAAAGAGUUUUUGCUCGAUGGACUGUGAUAAAAAUGAGAAGGCCCACCAAAAGUAAAAUUAAACUCGUACAGUACUAGCUACUACUUUACUAAUCCGUGAAUACCGACAAAAAGCAUAUGCCGCCAAGCCAAGGGGCCCCUCGGUUACCAAAUGGACUAACUCUAGUUGAAACUAUACCUUACGCUGGUUAAUCUUUACCGUCGCGAUCAACCCACGUGUCCAUCUUUCAACGGUCCAGAUCCCUCUUCUUUCUAUAUAAAACCUCCUCUCUCUCCGUCCAAACCCUAUACCUAACCAUCGAAGCAGAAAAUAUCUCAAAUCUCUUCCUCCUCCUCAGAAAUCUUAGUAUCAUCACCAUGGCCUCAAAUCCCAAGGUCUUCUUUGACAUGACUAUCGGUGGUCAGCCCGCUGGUCGGAUUGUGAUGGAGCUUUUCGCAGAUUGCACUCCUCGCACUGCUGAGAACUUCCGUGCCCUCUGUACCGGCGAGAAAGGCGUCGGCCGCAGCGGUAAGCCCCUCCACUACAAAGGCUCCUCUUUCCAUCGUGUGAUCCCUAACUUUAUGUGCCAAGGAGGUGACUUCACCGCCGGAAACGGUACCGGAGGUGAAUCCAUCUACGGAUCCAAGUUCGCUGACGAGAACUUCAUCAAGAAGCACACUGGUCCCGGUAUUCUCUCAAUGGCUAACGCUGGUCCCGGAACUAACGGAUCUCAGUUCUUCAUUUGCACGGCUAAGACUGAGUGGCUCGACGGAAAGCACGUUGUGUUUGGACAAGUUGUUGAAGGCAUGGAUGUGGUGAAAGCCAUUGAGAAAGUUGGGUCUAGCAGUGGAAGAACUUCCAAGCCCGUUGUUGUUGCUGACUGCGGACAGCUCUCUUAGAGAAGAAAAAGAGAACUAUGUGUUAAGUUGGGAUGUUGUCUAAUGUCUAGAAUAUUUAAUGUCUGUCAUUUAGACUCUUUUAUGGUGCUGUUUUUAUCGUCACUGGGUUUGGUGGUUUUCAGGAACUUGCUUUAUGUAGUUUUUACGAUUAACUACCAUUAAAUAAGAUACUCUUUUUCGUCAUCAUAAUCAUCACUGUCUACCUGUGUUUUUAAUUUUUUGCAAUGGUUUCUGCUCAGCAGUAGAAACCUCACCCACUGGCCGCUCCGUGCGGUGUAAUCAAAAGCAUUGGUGUUUAGUCAUCGGUGGUGUAAAUUGUUUAGACCUAGUCAAUUGUGGAAAAUGGAUUUUUAAAAUAAAGAUAUUUUUGCAGAUAAACUUAAGAAGAUGAAGACAAAAUAUCCAAAUAAUCUCAUGGGUUGUUUUGAAUAAUUAUGGUUACAUAGACACUCGUGAAGGAGAUGGGGUCCUUGGAGAUUGAUCCACAGCCUCAGCUGUAAGGCAAAAAAUCAAAGCAGGUGAUACGUGGAGAGAGACAAGGUUAUUUGUUUUGUGAUAGAAAUAGAGCCUCGUUUGAGAUGUGGCGUCCCACCACCGCUUGGCCUUGGGGUUCUUCGAUUUUUCCCGAGGUUGGUGGUCGAAACGGUAGAUGUUGGUGUUUUACUAAUGAUAAAUUUAGCCAGUAAUUUUUUUUAUAUUUUGUCAAAAUGAAUUUAAUUAUAUAUUUAAUUUUUUUUUUCUGUUUUUUCAAACAAAAUUAAUAAAUAAAUUUAAUAUUUCAAUAUUUAUUUUUUUAAAAGAUUUUAAUUUUUUAUAUAUUUAUUUAUUGAGAAGUUUUUUUAUUGAAUUAAUUUUUUAAAAAUAAUUAUACUUAUUUCUUUUUUUUAAUUUAAUGUAUUAUUUAUUUAUUUAUUAUUUUUUACACUCAAUUAUCUUAUUGAGUUAUUUGAAUAAUAAAUUAUAUCUUAUUAAAAAUAUUUUACAUAUAAAAUUUUAUAUCAUCCUUUUUAAUUUUUUUAAUGGUACUUUUAUUAAAUCUGUUAAAAAAAUAAAUUAAAAAAAAGAAAAAUUUAAUAGAAAAAAUUCAAAAAUUCAAAAAUACAAUUAGAAUCAUUUUGACAAUAUAUAAAUAUUAAUGGUUAAAUUUAUCAUUAAGCCUAAAUAAAAAGGAUAAAUUUCCUUAAACUUUGUUCUACAUUUUAAGUACGGUGCGCCUCAAGUCAAAGAGUAAUAGCUAGUUUUUUUUUUUUUAAAUGUAACAAUAAAUAAAAAUUCACAUCGAAUGCGGUAAGAAAAACUUUUUAAUUUCUCUAGAAUCUUAUAUUAGAAGCCUUGGGAGUGAUAUUACUUACCAAUUUAAUUUGUUCUACCUUUUCAUUGGAAUUGCUUCUUAUAAGAAUUUUAUAGCUAAUUUUUUUACGUCUAAUCUCAUAAAAAUCAUUAUUUUUGAACUUUCACACACACAAAAAAUUAAAAACUACUCAUUUUAUCUUAUUUAUUUUUCAUUUGCUUUGUUGUAUUAUAAAUUUAAAAAAUUUAAAAAUUUAAAACUGAAGCUUACUCAAAAAUUUAAUUAAUCUAGUAACUAGAGUUACAGAAAAAAAAAAGAAAGGAGAUAAGUUUAGUAAAAAAAAAUGGGAUACUUUAUAUUAUAAAUUAAAAAAAUAAAUAUCAAAUUUCAAAAAAAAUUGAAAUUUAUUAAAGAAUCAGAUAAUAUAAUAAAACAUUUUACUCUUUUCUUUUGCACUCUUCUUUCUUAAUUUAUUCUCUUUUUCCUUUUUUUCAUAGUUAUAAAAAAAAUCAUGUAAAUAGGUAGUUGAUAGUAGAAGUUUUUAGAAUUAUCAAGAAUAACAGCAGUGCUACACACGUAGAUUUUGUUUCUCAAAAACUUGAGUAGCAAUAAUUGGUUUAAUAGUGGAAUCUGCAUUUUACAUUGAGGUGUUUUUUGCUAGGGUUUUUAGGUUUUGAGAAAAAAAUAAAACAAAACAAAAUUUGUAAAGCAAUUUCUGGAUAAAACGAAAUGAAGUUGUUGAUAUGUUUGAAUGUGUUCAUCAAUGGUGGAACACAAACGGGGUUUAGUUUGAAAAUUUUAACUUCUUUUAUAUAAUAAAAAUUUCCUUAAAAAUUUUUUAGUUUUAAUUUCAAGAAUUUUCUAGAUUUAUACGAUAUUUAGAUAUUUUUAUUUUUUUAAAAUACAAAAUUUAAAUACUUUUUUUAAUAGAUUUUUAAAAUAAUUUUUAGUCUAAGAUUUUUUUAAAUUCUUUUACCAUAAGAUUUUUUUAAAUUCUUUUACCAUUAUUGUUAAGAAUAUUUUUAAAAUGUCAAAAUAAAUAUUUUAACUUUUAAAAUAUUUUAGCAUUAUUUUUAUUUAGAUAUUUAGAUAUUUUUUAAAUUCUUUUAUAUAAUAAAAAUUUGCUUAAAAAUUUUUUAGUUUCAAUUUCAUGAAUUUUCUAGAUUUAUACGAUAUUUUUAUUUUUUUUUCAAAAUACAAAUUUUAAUUAUUUUUUAUAGAUUUUUAAAAUAAUUUUUAGUCUAAGAUUUUUUUUUAAAUUCUUUUACCAUUAUUGUUAAGAAUAUUUUUAAAAUGGCAAAAUAAUUUUUUAACUUUUAACUUCAGGACCAAAUUAUCUAUUAACCCUUUGAUUUAAGUUCCAACUCUAUUUUUUUUAACGGAAGUAAACAAUCGAGUGACAAAAAUAUAACAAUUUGAUUAUGUUAAUGACUAUUCUGUAACCUUAAAAAGUGGGGUGAUAAAAAUAUAUUUUUAAACAAAUUUUAGGGACAGUUGGGUGUAGUUUACCUUUUAAUAAAAUUUUAAAAAUUUAUAAAAAAUAUUAAAAAUAGAUCAAAUCGAUUUUAAUCAGUUUUUUAGUUUGGCUCAACUGAUCUGUACCGAUUAGUGGAUUAAUUAGUUUAAAGUAAUGAUGCUUGAAUUGGAUCAAAUUAGGAAUUGAUCAAGAUAUCGAUCCAGAGAAUGCCAUUAAAUUGGUUGAUUCAAGAACUAGUACGGGUUAAUUGAACCAAAUAAAAAUCAGUCAAAUUGAUUUUAAUACUUUCUUUUUUGAAUUUUUAAUGAUUUAUUUAAACAAAUUGGAUUGGAUCAAUUGAACCAAUCAAUUUAUCAACGAUAGUCUAGCUAAUUAGACUGUAUCUUGAUCGAUUCUCAGGAUUCGAAUGACUGAUUCGGCUCAAAUAUGAAAACUUUGGUUUAGUUAUCUUUCCCAGGAGGAUUCUUUGUUCUUUCUUUGUUCCCAUAUUUUAUUUUUUGUUGAUAUUUUAUAUUACUAAAAUCGAUACCACUAUGAGGAAAGAGUGUUUUUUAGAAUGGUGAUAUUUAUUAAACUAAAAAUAAUAUUUUAGGUGGCAGGUUUUUUAAUAAAUGAGAUAUAUUUUAUUUAAAAUUUGACUCUUGUGGUAAAUUUUCAGCAGUUGGUUUUAUUUGAGUUAAAUUCAGUCAAUCACUUUAUCAUAAUGAGUUAUGUGCAUUCAUUUUGUUGGUGAAAUCAAUAAAAAUAGAGUAAAUUAUGUAAAUAGUUAAUUAAUUGUUAGCUGUUUUUGUUUUGGUUAUUUAUAUUCAAGAUUUUUUAUUUUAAUUAUUAAUAUUAUCGAAAUUUAAUAUGUUUUUCACACAUCCCUUAAAUCACUAGCUAAAUGUUGACCUGAUGUUUUUUAUUGGCUUAUAUUAAUUUUAACUUUUUAUUGUUUAUAGAUUCUAUUAAUUUGGUACUAAUUUUAAAAAAUCAAGAAUUUAACUCUCAACUUUACACAUUCUGCUAAUUUAGUCUUGAUUCUUAAGAAUUAAAAAAAAUAAAAAUUUAAAAAUAAAAAAAUAAAAAAAAUACUUAAAAGUUUAUUUUUUUUUGAUAAAAAUGCAUACAAAAUUACAAAUAAAUACCCUUUCCCUUUUUCUAGCUUAAAUUUAUUUAUCAAAUAAAUAAUUUUAUAAAUAAAAUAAUUUCCUUAAAAAUCUAUAAACAAAGCCUAAACCAAAUUCAAACUUUUUUUUUAGUUUUAUUUUAUAAAUAAUAAUUUAUAUAUUAUAAGUUUGGUCUUGUUCUUAAUCCUCACCAAAUUUGUUGAGAGCUAAGCACCGCCUUCGCCCACGACCAACAGUACCAAUAACGAUUACUUUAAACUCCUCGAUUUAACAUCCUCCGUCAUCAUGCCAUCAAACUAGGAAUCGAUAGUGGAGCUGCAGGCAUGACCUUCUAUCUAUUGGGUCUCCAAGUCAUCAUCCUUACCUAUAUUAAUCCCUAAUCAUGUUCAUCAUUAAUCACAACCUCAAAACAGAACAAGCUCGUUUUGGGCACCAACCUAAAAGUUGGAACAUUUUCAAAUAUUUAUAGUGUUCUAAUAACUAUAAAUGUAUGGGUGUAAUUAAUCAAAAGUUAUAUUAUUUGAUUUUUUGAAAAAGAAUUAUAACUAUUUAAAUAAUAUUAUUUAAAUAGUUAUAAUAUUAAAUGUGUUUAUUUUAAAGAUAUUAUUAUUCAGAAAGACACUUAUUGAAAGAUGUCUCUAUGAAGAACUGUGAAAAUUCAUAUAAAUAGGAAUGAAUUUUCAUUUGGAAAACGCACCAACAAAUUCUAAUAUUCUUUCUUUCCUUCCUUCAUUUUCUAAUAUUAUUAUAUUAUUCUAUAAAGUAUUAUUGCAGAAAUCUUUUGUAGAAAUUGAGUUUUUUGUUAUACAUUGCUCAGUUCGUAGUUAACUAUUCUCAUCAGUGAAAAAUGCAAAUAGUCAUUAGCUUCAUUGUAUCCUUGAGGUUAAUUUGCUUGGAACUCAUUUGCACACCGAAGAUAGGUGGGGGCGAAUAUAACCUUAAAGAUAGUGGCUUAAUACAGGCCUUGAAGCCUUGUCCUAUUUCUUCUUUUUCUGUUCGAGUUCCAUUCGUGUGUUCGAGAUUUUCCUCACUGGAGAUUUGUAUUAACAAUUUUAAUGUUAUAUUUCAUGAUGACUACCACAACACAUGAAAGUGGAACACUAAGGGAGUUGGCUUCCAAAUUUGUCAAACUUGAUCGGUUUGAUAGUGACAAUUUUCGACGAUGGUAGAAAAAAAUGCACUUCUUAUUAUAACUUUGAAGAUUGCUUAUAUUUUAGAUACUCCUAGACCUAAAAAGAAUGAUAACGGAUCUGUUGCUGCAAACCGAGAAAGGUAAAAAUGGGACAAUCCUGAUUACAUGUGCAUGUGCCACAUAUUGAAUGGUUUAUUUGAUGGUUUGUUCGACACCUACCAAAACGAGGUCACCGCUAAAGAAUUAUGGGACAAAUUGGAGACAAGAUACAUGACUGAAGAUGUUACAAGUAAGAAAUUUCUUGUCAUUCUUUUUAAUAAUUAUCAAAUGGUUGAUGGUCGUUCUGUUAUGAAACAAUUUCAUGAUAUUGAAAAGAUGUUGAAUCAAUUCAAGCAAUAUGAUAUGAAAAUGGAUGAAAUGAUUGUUGUAUCCUCCAUAAUAGACAAACUUCAUUCAUCUUGGAAAGACUUUAAAAAAAGUAUAAAACAUAAGAAAGAGGAAAUAUCUCUUGAGGCUUUGGCAAAUAAUCUUUGGAUUGAAGAAGAAUAUCAAAAGUAAGAUCAGAACUUAAAUUCUGAAAAUAUCAAAGUGCAUGUUACGGAGGAAGUACAGACUACUAAACCAUUCAAGAAAAAGUUCAAACAAACUAAUAGAACACCUAAGUUCAAAAAGAAACAAAAGGGUUCAUGCUAUCAUUGUGGUAAGCCGGGUCAUUUCAAGAAUGAAUGUCGAUUUUUAAAGAAGAAAUCAUCUUAGGCUGAUAAUAAUGAGAAGUUCGUUGCAAUGAUAUCUGAAAUUAAUAUGGCACAAGAUGAUAAUACAUGGUGGAUUGAUAUCGGAGCAACCAAACAUGUUUGCAAAGACAAAAGUAUGUUCACAAAGUUCACACAAUGUGAAAAUGACAAUGUCUUGUACAUGAGAAAUUCUUCCACUGCAGCAAUCAAAGGCAAAGAGUCUGUUGAACUACAAUUCACUUCUAGAAAGGUUUUAACCUUAAAUGACGUAUAUUAUGUACCAGAAGUUAAGAAAAAUUUAGUGUCUGGAAGUCUUUUAAAUAAGUUUGGUUUAAAACUUGUUUUUGAGGUAGAUAAGUUUAUUUUGUCUAAGGGAGGAAUUUUUGUAGGGAAAUAGUAUAUAUGUAUGAGAGUAUGUUCAAACUUAAUAUUGUUAAUAAGAAUAAAAAUACUAUUUCUGCUUAUAUCGUUGAAUCUUUUUGUUUAUGGCAUUAUAGAUUAGGUCAUUUGAAUUAUAGAAAAUUGAAUGUCAUGAAUAAGUUAGAUUUAAUUCCUGUAUUUAAUAAUAAUAUUAAAAAAUGCAAUACAUGUAUGUUGACUAAAAUUACAAGAAACCUUUUCCCUAAGGUUAAAAGGAAAACAAAAUUGCUUAAUUUGAUACAUAAUGAUUUAUGUGACAUGCAUAAUAAUCCUACAUUAGGUGGAAAGAAAUAUUUUAUUAGUUUUAUUGAUGAUUGUUCUAGAUAUUGUUAUGUAUAUUUAUUGCAUUCAAAAGAUGAAGCGUUUGAUAAAUUUAAAGUUUAUAAAUUUGAAGUUGAACUUCAGUGUGAAUCAUUUAUCAAGUGCUUAAGAUUGGAUAGAGGUGGAAAAUACUAUAAUCUAAGUUAUUUUGAAUCUAUUAGAAUUGUCCAUCAAGUUUCAACCCCUUACACACAACAACAAUAUGGUGUAGUUGAAAGGAAAAAUAGAGUCUUGACUGAAAUGGUAAAUUCAAUGUUAUCAUAUUUAAGUUUUGUACAAGGUUUUUAGGGAGAAGCUGUUCUAACAGCUUGUCAUAUAUUGAAUAAAGUUUCUAAUAAGGAAACUAAAAUAAUCCCCUAUGAACAAUAGAAGGAAAGGAAACCAAACCUUAAUUAUUUGAAGGUUUAGGGUUGUAGAGUUAUUAUCAAAUUUCCAACACCUAAACGUAAAAAGUUAGGUGAAAGAGGAAUUGAAUGCAUAUUUAUAGGAUAUGCAUAUAAUAGCAAGGCAUAUAGGUUCAUGGUAAUUGAACCAAAUGAUUCAAUUUCAAUUAAUACUGUUAUUGAAUCAAGAAAUGCUAUUUUUGAUGAAAAUAGAUUUAUUUCUAUUUCAAGACAAUUACAGCCACAACAAUUGAUUCAUUCUUCAAAUGAGAAUGAGAUUCUAUUGGAACAAAUUGGUAAUAAUGAUAAAUCUUGUUAAGAAUUAAGAAGAAGUAAGAGGAUUAAAAAGGUCAAAGAUUUUGGACCAGAUUUCAUUAUGUUUCUUGUAAAAGGAAAAGGUGAAAGUAUACGCAAUAAAAUACCUUAUUGUUAUAAUACUGAAUUUGAUCUUAUUACAUUUGAAGAGGUAAUGAAAUCUCAAGACACUGCUUUUUGGAAAGAAGUAAUAAAUGAUGAGAUGGAUUCAAUAUUUAAGAAAUAAAACUUGGAUUUUAUUUGAUCUUCCACCGGGUUCUAAACCAAUAGGUUGUAAAUGGAUCUUCAAAAAAAAAAAUGAAGGUCGAUGGAACCAUUGAUAAAUUUAAUGCAAGGUUGGUAGCCAAAGAUUUUACACAAAAAUAAGGUAUUGAUUACUUUGAUACCUAUGCUCCAGUAGCAAGAAUUGCUACAAUUAGACUCUUAAUAUCACUCAAAUCUAUAUAUAAUUUGGUUGUUCACCAAAUGGAUGUAAAAACUACAUUUUUAAAUGGUGAAUUGGAAGAGGAAGUGUACAUGGAACAACCAGAAGGAUUUGUUGUUCUAGGACAAGAACAUAAAGUAUGUAAGCUUGUUAAAUCUUUAUAUGGACUUAAACAAGCACCAAAACAAUGGCACCAAAAGUUUGACAUGGUUGUUUUAGCUAAUGGCUGUAAAAUAAAUGAAUCUGAUAAGUGCAUAUAUAGCAAAUUUGAAAAUGGAAAAUGUGUCAUAAUUUGCUUAUAUACAGAUAACACGCUCAUUUUUGGCACGAAUUUGGAACAAAUAGAAAACACAAAGAAAUUCUUGUCAAACAACUUUGCUAUGAAGGAUAUGGGUGUAACAAAUGUUAUUUUUUGGAUUAAAAUAACCCGAGAUAAAAGCACUAUAGCUUUAUCACAAUCACAUUAUAUUGAAAAUGUGCUUAAAAAGUUUGAUUUUUUCAACUAUAUACCAGUAUCGACACCCAUGGAUCCUCAAAUAAAAUUAGUAUCUAAUACUGGUAGGAAAAUUGAUCAAUUGAAAUAUACAAGUCUAAUUGGUUGUCUUAUGUACAUAAUGACUUGUACAAGACCAGAUAUUGCAUAUGCUGUUAGAAAAUUGAGUAGGUACACAAGUAAUCCAAGUAAUUUGCAUUGCCAAGCUUUGAAUAGAGUACUUAGUUACUUAAAGAAAACUAUUUAGUUACUUAAAGAAAACUAUUAACUAUGGAUUGUGUUAUAAUGAAUAUCCUAUAAUUUUAGAAGGGUAUUCAGAUGCUAGUUGGAUUACAAGUUAGGAAGAUCAUGCAUCUACUAGUGGAUAGAUCUUCAUUCUUGGUGGAGGAGCCAUUUCUUGAGGUUCCAAGAAACAAACAUGUAUUACUGAUUCUAUCAUGAUAGCAGAAUUUAUUGUAUUAGCCACUGAAUCUAAAGAAGCAGAAUGGUUAAGAAAUUUUCUUUAUGUUAUACCUUUAUGGCCUAAGCCAAUUUUACCUAUUUCUAUCUGUUGUUAUAGUGAGGCUACUCUAGCAAAGGCAUAUAGCCAAGUAUAUAAUGGAAAGUCUAGAAAUAUUGGAUUAAAACAUAGCCAUGCCCGACAAUUAAUCUCCGAUGGAGUGAUCACUAUUAAUUAUGCGAGGUCAAGUGAAAAUUUGGCGGAUCCUUUGACAAAAAGUCUUGCUAGAGAUGUAAAAGUGACCUCAAAAGGGAUGAGACUCAAGCCUAUUAAUUAAAGUCACCCAUGAUGGAAACUCGACUCAAUGCUUGGUAUAACGUCAAGUCUUGAGUUUAAUGAGACAAAAUACAUUAUUAGUAUGUGACUGUUUGCACUAUAAAUAAAUCCAUCCUAAGAUUAAAAUACUAGGUACCCUUAAUGAUAAGGGAAGGGUGAGUAAUGUACUCUUAAUGGACCCAUAACAUAAAUAUGUUAGAGUGUUAUAAUUACGAGAACACUCUUGAUGGGAUCUACCUAUGUGAGUGGAAAUAUGGCCGCUUCUAGGAGCUCAAGGGCUUGGCUAUGACAACACUUAUGAAAAGAGGACACAGACACAUGGUCAUAAUAGUGUCCCUAGAUACUAUGCAUUAACCGAUGUUGAAAUCAUUGUGUGAGAUGUAUUCGGUUAAUCAAAUGAAAUAGUUUGUUCAAAGCUUAAUCUACCAUGCAAUUUCGAUUAACUUUAAUAUGUUUUCACUAAGUGAAGGUUUGAUCAUAAGAUAUAUUAAUUUGUGCAAAUUGAUUUCCAAGAAUAUCAAAAUCUAAAAUAUUUUGAAAAUGGGGGGAGAUUGUUGGAACAUUUUCAAAUAUUUAUAGUGUUCUAAUAACUAUAAAUGAAUGAGUGUAAUUAAUCAAAAGUUAUAUUAUUUGAUUUUUUGAAGAAGAAUUAUAACUAUUUAAAUAAUAUUAUUUGAAUAGUUAUAAUAUUAAAUGAAUAAUUAUGUAUUUAUUUUAAAGAAAUUAUUAUUUAGAAAGAAACCUAUUGAAAGAUAUCUUUACGAAGAGCCAUGAAAAUUUUUAUAAAUAGGAAUAAGAUUUCAUUUGAAAAACAAACCAACAAAUUCUAAUAUUCUUUGUUUCCUUUUUUUUUCUAAUAUUAUUAGAUUAUUCUAUAAAGUAUUACUGCAUAAAUCUUUUGUAAAAAUUAAGUUUCUUAUUAUAUUUUGCUCAGUGCGUAAUGAAUUAUUCUCGUCAAUGUAAAAUAAUGUAAAUAGUUAUUGUAUCGCAAAAAGGAAAUAGGAUCUUUAUCUGAAUACCGUCUGUUAACCAGUUUUUUGGAAAUUCGGUUUCGGAUAAUUGAACACCAUUAUAAGUGUAUUUAACAUGCAUUUCUCGAUUCCAAUCCGUUAAAUCCUCAGACCACUCAGGAAAUUGAAAUAAUAACAUACGGGCAAUGUUUUUAACUAUUAUCAGUGAAGGUAAUAUAAUAUAUUUUCUAAGAAUUGAUUGAGUUAUUAACACGGAGCCCCUUAUCACUUGAGCAAGUAAAAGACUAUCCCAAGCUUCUGCUAUUUCUAUCCUCAUUUUCUCUUCUCUUUUGUAUUUUUCUCUUUUGGCCUCGUUUUUUUUUCUCGAUCAUUUUUUCUGUAUAAUCAGAAAUUUUUGAUUCUUUGUUUUUACAUAUCUAAUUUCGAGAUAUUCGUUUCAGCGUUCUAGAAAUAUCAAAAGAAAAAAAGAGUGAUUUGUCUACUCUGUCCAAAAAAAAAGGGAAUGUACAUUUGCUUGAAACAGCUCCCAAGUAAUUGUUUUACGCCUUUGGGCACGCAUGGAACCCUUUAUUAUGUCGCGCCGAAAAUCCGAUUGUUGCGAAUGUUAAUUUACUUAGAACUCAUUCGCAAUAGCUGAUGGCGAAUAUAUUCUUAAAGAUAAUGGCUUGAUACACGCCUUGGCUACGAGUGUGAAUUGAACACGCAACCUUUAGAUCUUCAAUCUGAUGCUUGGAAUGAACCUGCUAAAGAGUUCGUGUUCUCUGCAAUGUUAAGGUCCUUAUCAUCGUCUCUUCAAUAUUGGCAAAAUAUUUGGGUUCUCCAUUUCUGGUUCAAAGCGAAACCUGUAGCUAGGUGCCCCAAACUUUAUUCUGCUGGUGUGUUUGAAGUUCGUUUUGCAUUAAGAACUUGUGCCUCCGUUUCAAAAAUUGAACUUCAGCCAAAAGGGUCAAUCUUUUAUCUUUCAAAACCUGCAAUCUCUUUCUCAAAGCCUCUGUUUCCUUGAGCAAUUCUUCGAAGUCUUGCAUAAGGCUGUGGAGAUUGAACCUAUUCCUUUGGUCCUCGUAUAUGGGGUAUGGAGAAUACUCCACAGAAGCAGUAACCCAUUUCAUCUUCUUCAUGUUUCAGAACACAGGGAUGAGAUUAAGAGACCCACAAAUAUGGAGAAGAGAAAGAGACAAAGGUAUUUGACAAGAAAUAAAGAGAUGAGGGCAAGAAAUAAUAAAAAAGGAAAGAAAAAGUGUUGAAAAAAAGAGGAAGGUUUUGGUUUCUCGUUGACUCUGUGAAAACUUUGACUAAGACAAAGAAGCCCACAUAACUGGGUAAAAAAAAAGAAAAGAAAAGGGGGAUCUUUAGAGGGUAGAGACAGCGAUAAAGAUGACUUUUGGGGGGAUUGCAGAAGGGUAUUUGUGGUAAAUAUGUUUUUAAUUGGUUUGAGAAAGUUGGAUGGAUUACAUUGAAAGACACCUAUAUUAUCAUCCCCCUAUCUAUUCUUUUUGGUUGAUCUUCUACAUAAAAACUUUGUUCCAGCAAAGCUGAGCUGGUUCAUUUAAGAAAGAGGGUGAUGUGUAGAUUGAGUUUUGGAGAGUGGGUGCGUGGAGUUUUCCCCAUGUUUCUUUUUGGUUGAGGAGCAGCGGUGCCUAGUGGUGAUGGAGAAAUGUCGAGAGGAAGCGAGCAGCAUCAGCAGAAGAUACAUGCAUCAAUUGCAAAUUCACGGUUUUAUGGUUUUCUACCUCUAAUCGCUUUUAAGCUCCCACAUAUCUAUUUAUUCUCUAAUCUAAUUUAUUUAUUUCCUUUUAGAAUUUGAUUUUUUACUUUGAGAAGUUAAGUUAUAUUCUAGGGAGCAUUUGAUUUUAGGGGUUUCAGUUUGGAAUUUCUUUACCUGUGAUGGCCGUGGUAUAUUUAUUGACUCUAAUGAAAGAGCUUUGUCUCUGGCCCAUGUUUACAAACUCAAAGCUACAUGCCUGUUGUUGUUUCUCCUUCUCAAAACAUAUUUCUGCAAACGGCUGGAGCACAUUCGUGGACUCAACCUGGUGGUGGUGCUCUUUACAUGGGAUAGUAGGUAAGCCCUAAUGUAACUGAAUAUAAUUUUUACAUGUUAAUUGUUAUGUUUGCAUGAUCUUUAUCCAUAAUGGACCUAGCAAAUGAGAAAUCCAAUUUAAUUUACAUGUUUUGUUGCUUGACUAAACACGAUCUCACAGCGUGGAGAUGGCUGUGUCUAGUAUCAAGUUUGGUUAUUGCCAAGUUGAAAAAGAAUCGUUGAAAAAUUAGUACAAGUUUACUUUUAGUUUUUGAAGGACUUGUAGGUCUGUUGUUAUCUGUCAACAUAAUGUAGUUAAUGGCUUGUAAAUAAUUCACCAUGAGGGCUUAUAUUAUGUUUACAUGUAGCACAAUUAAAAGACACCAGCUUGCGACAUGUUUUACUUUGAAGUUAACUGUUUAAUGCUAGUCUCAAAGCUGUUAAUCUAUAUUCAAGAGAGUUAUUUUCUUAUUAAUGAAAUAAAUAGAAUUUAUACUUAACCUAUGAUAUUUGGAUCUGUCUCUAAUGAGUACUCCCUUCGACGAGUUGAACUUUAUACAGGAUAGGUCGUUCAAGAAACAAUAACAAAUGGGAUCUACUUCUUCUUACUAUUUUGAUGAGAUAUCCAUUUUUAUCUCUAAAUAAGUGUUACUAAGCUUGGUAACUUUUUGGUCGUUUGUUUAGCAGUUUUGGUUAAUGGUAAGUUUUUAUAAACAUGGACAUUUUGCCUUUUAGCAGAGGCAUUUACACGUGCAGAUCUCUGCGGCCUUUUGAUAUAAAGUUACUUUUUGAAGAUAUAUUAUUUUCGCAUAUCCUUUACUAGGAUGGCGUGCAGGAUUAGUGAUAACUGGUUUGUUUUGUUUAAAAAAGAGCAUAUAGUUCAUAUAUGAUAUUUUUUUUAUGCGAAAUUGGUUUUUGUAUACGCUAACAUUUUGUAGGUAAGAUCAAACUAAAUCACCUAUAGUAGAUGUUAUCCUCUCUAAUUUUCUCCCCUCUGCUUAAGUUUAGGUUAUGUAUUACUGCAUACGAUAGAUACUGGUUGUUUGAACUUUGCAAUAUAUGAAGACUUGUUUACUCAGUUUUCACACCUGAACUUCUUCCUUUGUCAUCUCCUUUGAUUUUUUUUCCUAUGUGGUAUUUCAUCACCAGGUAUACUGUGCAACCUAACAUUUUAUUGCCUUUGCAUUUCUAAGCUAUAUAAAGCUUCCAUACUAGUUUGCAUGUUAUUCACAGAAUUAGAUUGAGAACAAGUUCAUCGUAUGAAAUUUCAACAUGAAUGUUAUUUAAUUAGAUAUUUUUAUACUUUCUGCCUUCUUUUGUUUUUGUUGAUGUUUUUAACAGUUCGCUCGGCACUCAUAUCGCGACCUUCUAUGUCCAACACAGUUAGCAAGAACGAAGCUCCCAACUGUCAUAUUAAGGCUCGCAGGUGAAGAGCCGCAGCCCCCAAAAAGUUAGCGAGAGUAAAGCUCCCAACUGUUAUAUUUAGGCUUGCAGGUGAAGAGCCGUAGUCUCCAACAUAGUUAGCGAGAGCAAAGCUCCUAACUGUCAUAUUAGGCUCGCAGGUGAAGAGUCGCAGCCUCAGCCUCCAACACAAUUAGCGAGAACAAAGCUCCCAGCUGUCAUAUUAAAGCUUGUAGGUGAAGAGCUGCAGUCUCCAACACAAUUAACAACUUAAAAGCUCCCAGCUGUUAUAUAGGGGCUCGCAGGUGAAAAAUCGUAGCCAUAACACAAUUAGCGAGAGUUAAAAGCUCCUAGUUGUCAUACUAGGGCUCGCAAGUGAAAAACUGCAGCCCCUAAAAUAACUCACGGAUUAACAUUUCCAGUUGAUCAUUUCUAAAUAUUUGCCUAAGUAUAGAACAACUCGUGGACCUAAUUCUUUGCUGAUAUUUUAAAGGCUCGCUAGUUUAAUAUUGCAACCUCUAAAAUAGCUUGCGGACCUACGUUCCCGGCUCAUAUUAUAGAGUUUAGUUGAUUUAAAAUUGCAACCUUCAAUUAUUCGAGUUAGCUGAUUUAAGAUCGCAGUCUCCAAACAUCUUGCUGAUUUAAGAUCGAAACUGAUAUAGAAUAAUUCUCUCUGAGCCCGCUAAUUUACAAAUUUUUUCUUACGGAAAAUACAGUUCACAAUAUUCUGUAUCACAAUUCUUAACUUUUGUUCCACACUAUCGGAUAACAAAAAUUGUUCAAUAAAGUUUCAAGUUAAAACUUAUAUAGUAAGCCCCAAAGCUAUAAGUGUAAGCUUGUUUUAGAAGAAUUACUUUAUAACACUUCUUCAACAAAAUAAGGGACAAAUUGUUAUAUAAUUAUAAGAGAAUAAAAAUGACCCGACUCGAGGUCCGACCUGAUAUAAUAAAAGGAAACCCUGGACCCCAAAGUGUGGGGGGCUCCUUCCUGUCUGUUUUUUGGUUCUCUACUCUUGGAGAAUGAAGCCACGCACCCCAUCCCCUUUUCACCAACUGUUGAUCCAAUGCAUCAAUAAAAAUAUAAAAAUAUCGUUUAUUAAAAUCAAGAGAUUAAAAUACCCUCACCUUAUUUUGUUGUUACAAUUUUAGUUUAAACUUUUGAGUAAUUUUAAAAUAGAAUACUUCAUUUAUUUUAAGUAAUCGUUUUUGAUACAUAACUUACUUUUAGACAUAACACUUCCCCAACUUUUAAGUUGAAAGUAGGGUGAAGUUAAUAAAAUUUUAAGGGUUUACGACAGUACUUUCACUAUUUUAAUAAUUUAUAUCUUUAUAAAUUUUAAAUGAUUAAAUAAAAAAAUUUAUAAUUUUUAAGAAGUUAAAGAGUAAUUUUAUCAUUACUAAUUUAAAAUUUUAUGACCUAUAUAAAAAAAAUUUCAUUUUAGGAGUCCAGACUCAUGCUAGCUCCUUUGACUUCCCCACUAAUUGAAAAAAAAAAUACUUAAUAAGGUUUAAACCAAGGUCCUAUAUUUUAAAGAAAUUAAAAAAGAUUAUUUAAAAUAUUUUGGUAUAAGGUUUAAAAACAAUGAAGCCUGCGGUAGUAGUGAUGUUGAAAUGUAAUCUUGGCGUUGGGGUAUUAUUGGUAACUCCAUUUAUAGGCAUGCAAGCAAAAUCUCUAGAUUGAGAUUACCUAUGAAAACCCUAAAUUUCACCCUUUUCUUUCUCCAAACCCCAUUCAUGCCUGCUAAAUCAAGUUUGCUGCCGUUUCAGUUUAUUAAAGGCCCAUCAGCUUUUUAUUUUGGUGACCCAUUUAAUUACUGAAGGAGGUUAUUCAUUUUUGGGUUCUACCCUAUCUUUGGUUUUCUUUAACAACAAUAUAUCAAAAAAGAAUUAUAAUUUAUAUUUAAAAUACAUAUUUAAAUUUUAAUUAAUUUAUAAUAAAUAAUGAAAAGAAUGAUUUGAAUUUAAUCAAUAAUAAUACAUUAAAUAUGUAUUAUAUUAAAAUAAAAAAUAGUUUAAAUUAUAAUUAAAAUAAAAUUUAAAUACAUGAAUACAUCAAAUUAAGAUUACUAAAUAAAUAUAAUUAUUUAUCAUGGUUUUGUUAUCAAUUCUAAAUUACUGCCGAGUUAAUUUGUGACAACAUCUCAGCUAAUUAAUAUAUAAAAUUGAUGAAUAUAAUAAAAUGCGUAUAAUAAAAUUAAAAUGUAUAAAAAUAUUAAAAUAAAAUUUUGGUUGAAUGAUAAAUUUAAGAUUUUUCUAACCUAAUUGUCAUGACUUCAAAUCUCAUUGUAUGGAUAUUUUUAUUCUAAAUAAAAAGGCUAACGUACCCUUAAAUAAUAUAAUUUUAAUAUUUUAAUUUCAAUUGUUAAUAUCAUUAAGUUUUUCUAUUCAAUUCGUUGGAAUAACAUCAUGAAUUUUUUUUUAAAAAAAACUUACAUGGUAACCAUAUAACAAAAAAGGUAUUUGGAUUAAUCAAUGACAUUGUAAAAGUUGAGUACCAAAUUAUGUCAACACUUAAAUUUGAGCGUUGUAUAGGGACCUAAAAUUGAAACUUGACCGUUGUUAUAUAUAUAUGUCACUUUGCCACGUUCAUAUUUUUUUUUUGCCCAGACGUUUAUAAAUAGUUGAAAAAAACAUUUUUAACCUUCCAACUACAAAUAACCUUCUUUAUAUUUGGACACUUGUCAACAUACAAAGGAUAUGAUAGUAAAAUAAUAAGAUAACUAUCAAAUAUAAGUAUGUAAAUUAUUUGAACUAAUGCUAUUGUAAAAGUAGAUGAUCAAAUUAUGUAAAAUUAAAAUAUAAAGAUUAAAUAUCAAAUGUGAGUACAAUAGAGAAAUUAAAACUAUAAUUUUACUAUUAUCUUAUAAUUACUAAAAAAUGGGGAAAACCAUGUCAUUAGUUAGUGUAAAUAAUUAGCAAUUUUAAAAAUUUUGGUAGUUGAUGUAAAUUUUGUAAAAAGGUUUAUUCCAACUCAUCAUUCCAAAAUAAGUUUUUUGUUAGAAUUUUUUUAAAAAUUCACUUAAAUUUUUUAUUAUAAAAGUGACUUAAAUUUUUUAUUAUCAAAGUGAUCAAUAAUAUUAAGUAUUUGAACUAAACAUUAUAAAAGGGGCCAAAUUAUUGUAGAAAUUAAAAUAUAAAGAUUAAAUAUUACUUUUAGGCUUAGUAGAGGGACUAAAAGUGAUAUUUGGUCAAUUUUCUAUAAAAUGCAAAAAAAUAAGAGAAAGACUUGACAUGUGUCAAGUAGAGGGGCCAAAAGUGAUAUUUGACCAAUUUUUAUAUUGAUUUUUUUUAUAAAUUUGUUACGUAAUUUUUUUUCAUCCAUAUCGUUAGUAUACCGUAAUCUAAUAUAUAAUUAGAAACAUUCAAAUUGGGUAUUAAAAAAAUGAGGAAAAAUAAAGAAAAGUGAGGGAUUCUCAAUUCCCUCCACUUUCCCUACUCCUUUACUUUCCCUACCAUGUAAAAAAUAGGUUAACGAAACAAGGAAAAAAAUAUUUUCCCUUGAGUUACUUAAUUUUCCUUUCCUUACCCCAAUCCAAACAUAGUGUUAUUUAGCAAUAUUGUAACACCUACACCCGACCCGAUCGUCGGGUCUGAACUUCAAGAUGCCACAUUCGCUACUGAAGAAACUACGAUCACUUAUAUUCAAAUUCCAUCAUUAGACAUUUGGAUACGAGUAUUACAUGCAUAAAACACGAUAUAUAAUAAUUUCUAGGUCAUUUACAAGCUUACGAAAGCUCAAUACCAACCCAGAGUCAUACAAGGACUAAACUACAAUGUUUUCAAAACUUCCCAGAAUGGUGUCGUGACCUUGAAGAAAAUAAGCAAUCUUCUCAACAUGAGAACCAAAUUGUAAAUUUUCCAAAAUAAUACAGAGUCAACAUCACGACAUUAAGCAGGGGAUGUCGCGACAAGGAGAGCUAAUGUCGUGACUUACUUGGUAGUCUAGUAAGUUCACAAUUUCUUUUGAUUCAACCUAACAUAUAACAACAAUGUUUGGCCUGAAGGCCCCAAUCAACCAUUCAACACAAAUAGACAUGCUCAUCAUGCCAUUUUCAAGCCAUUAACACCUUUACUAUACAUAAGCAUUAACCAUUUCAUUUCAUUCAUAACAUCAUUUCCCAAUUUGACCAUUUACAAUAUGAACUAGAUAUCCUUAGGCACAUGUCAUUGACAAAAUGAAAAGAGUUAAUACAAAUAUAGUUGAGCUGAAAGUUGCGAUCUAGAUUCCGACGUCACUUUUAGGGGCUUCAGGAAAUACAUAUACCUGUGCACGAAAUAAACAAACUGUACGUUGAACAACAAAGCUCAGUGGUACUUUCAUAAUUCAAGAUAUUAUAACAUAACAUUAGCAAUUUAGCAUACUAUACAUAAUAUCAAUAUCUACCAAUACACACUUCAUAAAUGCAACACAAUUUGUUAUAUUAUACAAAUAUGAGCAUUCUUAUAGCAAUGAGAAACCAAUCUACUCAACAUUUCAUCAUUUCAUAUCAACCUUUAGGGCUCAUUUUCAAUUGAUUUGCACAAGUUAAAUGCUUUCUUUAUUACAAUUCACAUAUACAUAUAUUUGGUUCCAUUGCAUCAUAUAAUUUCAUUUUGGUAUCGUUUAUCAAGCUUACAGUUUAUACAGCUAUUAACUUGACUCGAACGGAUACACAGAUAAUCCAACCAACACAGCAAACUGACACCGAAGUGCAUCAUUGGAUAAAUCGAAGUAGGGGAAAUUGGCACAUAUAGUGCAUACUGGCACAGGAAUUGCAUCCUGGCACAUAGACGUAUAGCCUUGUACAUAAUCUAAUCCUAUGACAUUCUAACUAUAUCCUAAUCAACUUGAACAACUAAUAGGGUACCAAUGUUCAAUUUUAUUUUACAAUUCAAUACAUAUAUCAUUUUUCAAUCACUAUCAUAUUCAUAAUCCAAUUCAUUAUCAAUACACAUUAAAUAUCAUGUCAUACAUAUUUCCUUUCAAUUUCCAUAUCAUAUUUCAUAUUCCAAGUAAUUCAUGCCAUUUUCUAUUUUAUUCAUUUUAGUCCUCUAUCUCGUUAAUGUUGGAAAAAAUUCAGUUUGAAAAUGGUUUUCUUGCACAGUUGAAAAUAAAAUUUUUGAAAAUUGAGCCAAUCUGUGAUAUUUAUAGCAAUAAACCCUUUACCAAAAUCACACCUAUGCUUUUGGUUAGAUGGAUCCUCAUCGUUUUUGGCUUUCAACCAAACGACCUUCUCCGUUAUUCGCUUACCAUGAACUACUUUGAGUGUGGGCUCGAACGGUUCGAAUAAAAUCCAUAACCAAAUAUAGUUUUUUUACUUUUAGUGUGAUAGCAAAAUCUAUCUCAAUAAAAAACGACCAAAUUGCUAUUCUAGAAAAUAAAAUUAAUACUUAAAGAAUAAACUCUCACUAUUUUUAGGUAGCAUAACAAUAUAUCAAAUUUGUGUAUUUAGCCCUACUGGUGUCAUCUAUUUAUAGGGAGAAAAUGUGAAAUCUUUGUUGCAUUGUAGAAGUCUAUUUCAAUAGAAAAGCGAACUCCUAGCUUAACUAAGAUUAGCUUGGGUGGAAAUCAGCAAACUAGGGUUUGCUAUCCCUAGCAUUAAACAUGAGGGCCUUCUGGGUCUCUCCCAUAUUAAGUCCAAUUACAACUACUUCCUGAACUUUUAAUCCAAUACUUUAUAAUUCAAUCCAACCUGAUAUUUGUUUUUCUAUUUUCUAAAAUAAACAUCUUAAAUUAAUUUAAAUUAAUUAAUUUCUCAAUUAAUUAAUUUUCUCAACCUAAUUCUAAUUUUGUUAAAAAAAUAAUUUAUGAAAAAAUAUAUUUAAUAUUUCUAUAUUCAACAGAUUCACUAUGACCAAUUAAUUUAUUUCUAUUUUUGAACUUUAAUUAUUUAAUUAAUCAAUUAAAUAAUAAUUCAAAAAACCAUAAAUUAAUUAUUCAGGUCAUUUCCAUUUAGAGAAAAUCACAUUCAUUUUCAAAUGUUUCCCAUUUCUAUAACUUUAUCAUUUCCAUCCAUUUAUGUUCAUUUGAUUCAACAUGCAAUUCAUUUCUGGUUUCAUUGAACUAGUGGAUGGAUCGAUUGGACAUAUAUGAUUAGGGCUCAAAUGAUUUAUAAUUAAGUUCUAACUUUCACCUAUUAAUUAUAAAUUCAUUUAGUCAUGAAGUCAUUCCACUAUAGUAUCAUGACCGAACUCUCUCUAAUGGCAUACCGUUACGAAAGCAACUCGACCAGUUCUCAUCCAAUGACCUUGUCAUAAGUGAGUUACCUUCAUAGGAUAUCAUUAAUUUCUUUGGAAUAAAUCUGUUCUCCCAAUAUGAUCUUAUUUUAUCUCAUGGUAACCAUUACAUCUUCCUUCAUGAAAAGUUAAUCACUAUUACAUAGUAAUUAAGUCAUUCAUCACAAAGAGGAACAACCUGUGACCACAUUUACUUUUCAUUUACCAUGUAAUACCAAUGAGAAGAUAUCAUUUACCCAUAUCUCGGGCUUGAAUUCCACUAUUGUGAAUGACACUACAUACUACAGAAGUCGUACCCAAUGUACUAACUUUCGGUUCCUUAUCUAUUUGAAAUCAGGCUUUUACUUACAUCAAAUUAUACGAGUCACGCAUACUAAGUCUUGUUAGAAAAAGAAUUUAGUUUGAAAGCAAUUUUGUUGCACAACGAAAAAUAAAAGAUUUUGAAAACCAACCCAGUUUGUGAUAUUUAUAGCAAUAAAACUUUUACUGAAAUUACACUUGUGUUUUCAACUAGACGGAUCCUUGUUGAUUUCGGCUUUCAACCGAAUGACCUUCUCUACUAUUCUCAUACUACAAACUGCUUCGAGUGUGGGUUUGAAUGAUUCGAAUCGAGCACAGAACCAUAAAUGGUUUUCUUUAGUUUUAGUGUGAAAAAAAAAUCUCCUCUAUAAAAAUCGGUAGAAUUGUUAUUCCAAAAAAUAUAUUUAAUACAUAGUGAAUAAACUCUCAUUAUUUUCAAGUAGAGUAACAAUAUCUUAGAGUUGUGUAUUUUUCCCUAACAGUGCCAUCUAUUUAUAGGUAGAAUAAAUAAAACCCUUGUUCAAUUGUAGAAGCAUAUUUCAAAUAGAAAAACACACUUCUAGUCUAACUAGAUGUAUAGGGUGCGACAACCCUAGUUAAUAAUACUAGGUUUUGCUAUCCCUCCCUUUUAACAUGAGGGGCUUUUGGGCCUCUCUCUUACCGGUUCCAAUCGCAAAUAUUCAUGAACUUUUAACCCAAUACUUUAUAAUUUGAUCCAACCCGAUUGUAACAACCUAUUUUCAAUGGUGUUGGAAAGAGUGGUUUCGGGAUCACAAUUCCAACAAGUGAGUCCGUAAAUGUUAUUAAUAUAUUAAUUAAUAUAUCAGACUCAAGGAGGAGCAAAUAUUUCUAAUUUUUGAAAAUAUUCAAUUUGUUUUCAACAUUUUCGAGUUCUAGUUUAACUGUCUUUAUUAAUGUAUUACUAUUUUGGUUGAAUGUUGAUACACAGUCUAAUUAGCCAUGAGUUAGGUGUGUUAAGGACAAAGUAUCCUGUAGGCAAUUAUAGUAAUCCAAAAAUCCUGAUAGUAGAACCCCUUGUAGAAAAUAAGAAAACAAAGAAUGUUUCCUUUCCUUAGAAGAACUAAUUCUUCUGCAAGCUUUACUUCCAAUCAAUCCCAAGAGUCUGACCAAACCUCAAAUAACACUAUUAAUGAACAAUAAGAACAUUAUAAAAAUAUUCCCAAAGAUUAGAUAAUUGGACUCUCCCAAGAGUUCCAACAAACCAAGUUUAUAAGAAAAUAACUUUUGAAAAUUUAAAUGCUUUUUGUAGUUACAUUAUAAAAACAAAAGAAAUAAAUUUACCUAGUAAAAAAGAAUAUGAAACAAUCCAAUUAUUAUAUAAGGUCGCCAUUAAUAAACUUAAAGAACAAAAAUAUAAAUAUGUCCAUUUUGGAUUAGUCUAAGUUGGUGUCAAACCUCUUAGUUUUGAAGCCACUAAAAAUACCUCAAUUUUAAUUGUCUUAAGAGACCAGAGACAUAUUGUGUUUAAUGACUCAUUACUAGGUACUAUAGAAACAACCCUAUGUUGUAACACCCUAUACCCAGCUCGGUUGCCAAGCUCGAGUAACAGGAUGCUACACCACCGUCUCACAUUGUGCACAUCAUGCAUUGUCACAUUUCAUGCAAACAUCUUUUUAUCUUGGCAUUUAUACAACUUUUAAAUCAUACAUAUACUAAUUAUCAAUAUAACAUGCAAAAUCUACCUUAAUCGAGCUUAUGACAUCAAUUAAAUAGGCUUUAUGACCACUGAGCAAAAAUUUCAAAAUUGUUACGUAGGUAUCGAUGCUGAAGGAGUGGUAUCGAUACUCCUAUCAAGUGGUAUUGAUACCGCUUGGAAAAUUGAUACCAAAACUGCUUACUGUUUCUUGUUUAAAAACCAAAGUCACGAAAAUUAUCGGUCCCAUUGAAAAAGUAUCGCUAAUUUUACCUCGAGUAUCGAUACUCGUGAUAAAAUAUCGAUACCAAUUAACAAAACUUUUUCCUGCACUUUUGAAAAUCAUAGAGAUAUUGUUUUUAAAACUUGAAUAUCGAUACCUCUGCUCCAGACCAUAAAAAUAAAAUAGUUCCAAGCAUAUAAUAAAUACUAACUUAAAUCCAAACAUCAUGCAUCAUUUACCUCAUUAAAUAGACACCAAAAAAUCCAAAAUAACAACCCAAAACCUCAUAAUCAUGCCAAGCAAGAAACCAAUAAGAACAUGCUUUAAGUCCAUAAGUUCUAAGCAAAAUAAACAUGUAAACAACUUAAAAAUAAUAGCAUAUAGUCUACCACAUUUCCUUUAUUCCCCAAACAUAGAUAAUCAGAUAAACACCUACGAAUAACUACUAAAGUUUUGGCUUGGAUCACCCCUCGAAGACCACACCACUCAUACCGGCACUACUUAAUUGCAAUGGUUUAAAAGUGAGUAGGUGAGCUUAACAAGCUCAGUGAAUGCUCAAAAUAACUACCAUGCAAACAAGUCAUCAUGCAUUAACAACAAUCAUAUAACAUAUUCACAAUAUUACCAACUUUAAUGUCAUAUUAUAUAUGCUUUACAUAUUUCAUGGGUCCAUUUACACAUUAAUAUUUAAGCAUAAAUCACAUUAAUAUUUAAGCAUAAAACACAUUAAAUUUUAAACAUAAAUCAUAUUAAGUUCUAACACAUUUAAUAAUAGUUUGGCUCUUGAGGUUAUGAAACAUAAAAAGCACACUAUUACCAUACAUCGGAUAUAUAGAUCUCCAAACACACCAAAUGACUCAUAGAGUCAAACAUGUCCCAUAAGUGAAGCAUAUAGCUAACUCUCUCAAACACACCAAAUAUAUCUCAUUGAAUGGAGCUUAAGUCACAUUCUUUAUCUCUCCAAACAUGUCCCAAGGCCUCAAUGGCCAAAUCACAUAUACAUAUAGGUGAGUACUCACAAUCCUAUGGUAUGCCAACUAUAUCCAAUGGUCUCAUAAGGUCACAAGGCCAAAAUAUCCACAUUAUAAUCACACUUUUACUUACCAAUUUUUUGCACAUAAUCACUACAUAGCCACAUUAUUAGCACAAUAUAUUCAUUGUUGCUUGGCAUGGAUAACAUGCCUACAUAUUCACUUUCACAACAGUCAUCACAACAUAUUCGUAUAACAUCACAUCUUAGUUCUCUUUAUCACAAUUACACAAGCACAUUUAUCACAUAUUAAGCAUAGGUAUGGGAACACUUACACUUAGAAUUUAGAGUAAGGGUUUAGGCUACUUUUAAAUUCUCAAUUAACACAAUGAAUCAUCUACAAGCAGCUAUUCCAAAAAACUCACCAGUUACGCUUUCGCCGAAAAGCUAAAAGCUCAAAUCAGCUUUUCCUUGCCUUUACCUCUACUCGUAGAAGGUCCUAUCAAUUCCAAUGGUUCAACAAAGUAAAUCACCCAACAACACAAUCAACAUUCAGCCAAAAACUCACAUCAAACAAUCCAAAAACACAAGCCUAAGCUAGGUUCUCUUUUGACCGAAACCUUUGAUAUAGAAAACUUAAAAUUUGAAUAUCUCAGUCUAUACUUAAUAUUUUUUUCCUGAAAUGAAUUCUAUUCAUCUAAUUAUUUUCCUACGACUGAUUCUCAACCUUUAAACUUCGCAAAACUACUCAAUUCAUGGUAUCAAAAUUUUUCGACGUACAAUAGGCAUUUUUCAUGAAAACUAAUUAAUACCUUAGAAAUCGUUAAUGAAACUUUAAUGUAAGAACUUUAAUGUAAGUUUAGAAACCUUCUAAUAAUGUUAAAACAAGUUGAACAACACUUUGAAACCAUGUUUUUAACCAAAAUCCUGAAAUCCAACAUUAAAGACCCAAUUUUCGGCUUUUAUUUAAAACAUGUGAUUUAAUGGCUAAAAAUUCUGUUUAAAAGACCAGAUAUCAUUUAAAACUGACUAGGAAUUGAAUCGUUACCUUAGUUGAUGAAAAACUGAGUGUUUGAUCGAAAAACCGAAAAACCCACAAGCUUGACAAUGGAGGAAUCUAUGGUGUUUUUGGGUGUUUUUCUUAGAUUUUAUGGAGGUUUAAUGAUUUGGAAAGUGAUAGGAAUCAAAGGAAUUUAGGUUUGGCAAAGAAAUUGAAUGGAAGAGUUUGGAAAAAAAGGGACAGCAAGAACAAGUUAUGGAGAAGAACUAAUGUGAAAAUGAAACUAUAAAUGGGGGUUUUUAAGGUUGAAUUUUAAAAUAUGGUCUAAUUCCCUUUUAAAAACUCUAAUUUUUGACACUUUUACAAAUCAGUCCUAUUUUAAAAAUAAAGGUAUUUUAAACUCAUUUUCAGAAAUUGAUUUAAUUUUCUAAAAGUCAUAGACGAAAACAUUUUCGGUUACCACGUUUACAAAAUUCUGAUCACAUAAGAGCUAAAAUUCUCAUUUUACCCUAAAAACUUCUUGUAACACCCCUGAGCUGUACCCGAGAUCGGGACAAGGUAUGAUGCAUUACCGUACAUAGACAAGGCAUUUUCAAAACACAUGGGUCAUCAAAUUUCAUUCAAAAUUAAAACCAAUCAAACAAAAUCAUAUUAUCCUUAUUAUGGACCUACGAGGUCCCAAAAAAACAUUAAAAACAAUCCGGGACUAAUCCGAGAACUUAAGAGAAUUCUAAGAAAAUUUCUAGGGCUGAGCCUUACACGCCCGUGUGGAGGAAAUGCACACGCCCCUGUUCUUUGGGACACGCCUGUGUCCCUUACCCGUGUGGGAUUUCUAAAACUUAUUUUUCAUUUCGAACCUACAGGGGUUUUCACAAGGCCGAGCACACGCCCGUGUCCUUAGCCCGUGUCCCUCACACAGCCUAGACACGCCCGUGUCCAAAAACCUAGACAUUUUGUUUAUUACGUCAUCACUUAUUUAAGGGCACACGGCCAUGCACACGCCCGCGUUCUAGGCCGUGUCCUUCACACGGUUGAGACACAUGACCGUGUCUCUACCCGUGUGUUUACUACCAUGCAAACUGACUUAGAAAUUUUAGAUGCAGGGGACACACGGCUGAGCAACACGCCCAAGGGGAUGACCGUGUGUCACACAUAGCCUAGACAUAUGCCCAUGUGUCUACCCGUGUGGACCUUUUUGGAGGCUAUUUUCCAAGCCAUUGGUCACCCUCAAUCAAUCAUAUAUUCAAACAUACUUUACAACAUGCAACAUGACAUAUUUAUACACUCAAACAUUGUACACCAUAGCACUCUCACAUCUUCAUAAUGGCAUCUUAUUGCACCCUCAUUUGUUACACCAUUUAGAGGCAUUCCAUUCCCUUUUCAUGCAUUAUUAAACUUGUUACCAUAAGCUCAAAUUGUGUACUCAUGCACAUAGUCAUUUUAAGUCAUUAGGUCACCCUUUAACCUUUAGUACUUAAUCCACGCUUUACCAUACAUUCAUCAAGCAAUAACAUAUCCUACCAUCAAGACACUAACACAUGCAUGCAUGGGUAAUUAGAUUACAACCCAAAUGACCAAACAUGAGCCAUAUCACAUGACAAUUACAAAAGAAUCAUCAUCAUCAUAGGCCUUCACAAAUUGGCCAAAUAACAUGACACAUAUCACAAAAUGACCAAGUUUCUAUACAUGCCAUACUCAAAAUAAUAAUUUCACUAUACCCAAUAGUCUUUUGAUAGUGUGAUCGAGUACUCCGACAGCUUUCGAUCCCUGAGCUAGCUUGGCAGAACUACAAAGAAUGGAAGAGAGAGGGGAGUAAGCAUUAAAGCUUAGUAAGUCUACAUACAAAUAAUAUGUGAUAGUGGUAAAGAAUAACAUGCAAAAACAUGAUAGCAUAUACAUAAAGAUUAUUCUUCAUUCAAACCUCUUUACUUACUCAUCAUAUGCAUAUACAUACUUGCUCAUCUUAAAUCGACCUUUAUGAAAGCAUUACUCAUAGGUUUAACAUACGUACCUGUACUCAUUGUAGAGUAUCAAUAACCAUACCUCUUUCAUAUGCCCUCCUCAGGACUUUCAUUACAAUCGUUACAUUACCUGUUGAACACUCGAAAUACUAUUGGAUACGCGGAAACCUUGCACAUAAGUGCCACAUAUAUAAAUGUAGCCGAAGCUACCACAUAACAUGUAACACAUCCAUAAUGAACUCGGACCUCUCAACGAGCUAGGAUGUUACAUGAAUCGCAUCCAUCAUGAACUCAAACCACUCAACGAGCGACGCUCGCAUCCAUAAUGAACUUGGACCUCUCAACGAGCUCGGAUGCUACGUACCUCACGAACCCGGACCGCUCAAAAAGUUCGGACUUCUUAGUUCCUAGUGACAUGUCACUUGUAUUUUAAACUAUUCCUAAGGUUCAAAUAGGAUUUUUCCUCACUUGCAUAUAGUAUCUCCAUCAUACUUGCUCGUAACGUCGUGGAUAACGACUAUAAUAAUAUUCAUGCUUUCAUAACAAUCAGCAAUCAUAUAACUCAUAAUUACAAUAAAACAUUUAUUACAAUAUAUUAAAGCAUUAAAACAUACUAUAAUGCCACAUUAUUUACAUAUGUACUUACCUCGGUAUAAAACGAUGAUAAUCGAGCCUAGUCAUCGUAUACUUUAUUCUUUCCUUGAUCAAGUCCCCAUUCAUGUUUUUCUUGAUCUAUAAUGCCAAAAUUAACUUAUUUAUUAAUCAUUGUUGAAAUGGGUCUAUAAAUCAUAUUUUUGCAAAUUUACAUUUUGACCCCUAAACUUUCACAUAUUUACGAUUUAGCCUUAGGUUCGUAAAAUGAAAUGCAUGCAUUUUCUUGAUUACCCAAGCUUGGCUGAACUUCUUCUAUGCUCAUAUCAGCCCAUAUUUUAUUUUAUUUCACAUUAUUACUACUCACUUUCCCACUUUUACAAAAAGUCCCUUGUUUAGGUGUUUUUACUAAAAAUCACCUAAUAAAAGAUGUUCACCAUGCAUCAAACAUUCUUAUUCCUCCAUGAAUUAUCAAAAAACAAACAUGUCAUGCAUGGGUAAAUUUUCAUACAUGAACCCUAGCUCAAAAUAUAGCUAGAAAUGGGUAGAUCAUGUUACCGGGACUUCAAAAAUACGAAGAACAUUAAAAACGGGGCUAGAGAACACUUACUAUUGAGCUUGGAAAUGUUGAAAAAAACCUUAGCUAUGGUGUUUUUUUAUUUUCAGCAGCCAAGGAGGAAGAUGGGCACAUUUUUUGUUUGAUUUUCCCUUUUUAUUCUUUUAAUUACCUAAUGGCCAUAAUGCCUUUAGGGUUUCUCUUUUCAAUUUUUUUCUAUGCAUUUCCAUUUUUGUCUAAAAUUUUAGAAAUUGGUCAAAUUUCUAAUUAGGACCUUCUAAUUCAUAAUCUAAUGCAAUUUCAUGCUUAAAGCUUUUAGAAUGCAAGUUUUGCGCUUUAUUCAAUUUGAUCCCUAAAAUGCAAUUAGACAUUUUAUGCAUAGAAUUUUCUUCAUGAAACUUUCACACAAGCAUGUGUUCGUAACAUAAACCUCAUAAUAAUCAUAAAAUAAUUAUUUCUAUCUCGAAUUUGUGGUUUCGCAACCACUAUUCUGACUGGGCCGUAAUUCGGGAUGUUACACUUCUAGGCUUAAUUUUGGGGUAUAACAUAUGUACUAGGCCAAUACAUUUUAAUUGUUACCAAAAUUUUAUUUUUUUUAACCGAUAAUUUACAAUAUUUGACCCUCCAAAUUCAUACCCAUAAUUACAAAAUGCUUCUUGGAUCAGAAGUACUAACUUUAGUCUAUUGGCUUAAGUUCAAAGUUAUGUAUUCUAUAGUUAAUACCUAGGCUUUACUUCAAAGCCUAAAAGGAGAAAUCAUUUUAAUAGAAACAUAUAUCUUAAGAUCUCAUACCACAAUCCUAAGAAGAAUACAAUGGCAUGAAAUCAACCUUUUUGAAAGGUGGAAACUUGAAGGUGCUACAGACCCUUUUGUACAAACUCCUAUUAGAAACACUUUAUUAAGUGAAAUUUCCCAACACCAAGAUGAAACAUUUGAAUUGAUAUUCAAUAGGCCAAUGAAAAUGCCUCCAAGACAUUCCUUUGAAAUAAGAAGUACCAACACAACUUUUAGGAGGUUAAAUUUAGAAGAAGAAUCAAAUCUAGAAGUACAAUCAGAAGAUUUUAGGACACCUUUUAAGACCAAUUUACAAUGAAUAAAUAAUUCCUAAAAUAUAGCUCAACCUAUCUGUGUCAGACAGGAAGAAAGCCCCCAAAAUUUACCUGAUAUGUCACCAACAUACUCAUCAAUGACUAGUAAUGCAAGACAAGGAGAAAAUUCAAAAAUAUUUAUUCUAGAAAAAUAUUUUGAAAUCAAUAAAGAAUGGUGUAUAAAACACUUCUAUUCCAAAAAAAAAAGCAAAAAAGAGAAGAUUACUUUAAAAAUUAUAAUAAUAAAAAAGAGAGUAUUCUUCAGGAAUAUUAUGAAUUCAUGAUUUCCCAUAAAAUUCAUAUAAAAUUAUUUAAAUGGUUUGAAGAAUAUUAUUCAGAAUCUAUUAAUACAAUAAAAAAUAAUCCUAGAUGACAAACUAAUAAAAGAGAAGUUAAAUCUCAACAUCCCCUUUUAAUGGAGGUUUAAUAUUUUCACAAGAAUACUAGAAUAAAAGCAAAUCCUUUAAGAAUGAUAGCUCCUGAUGCAGGAGAAUAAAUCUCAUCAAAAGAUAUUAAAAUUAUAGUAGAAAAAAACAACUAUAUCAAUAUCCAUCUUCAUAUAAUAGGAAAACAAUUAGAUUAUAUUGAAAAUUUGGUAGAAUGUCAACCAAUAAAGAAAGAAUAAGUAAAAGAGGCUCUGAAAAAAGUUCUACAGAACUAAUAUUUACACCUUAUAGAAUUCCAAAACCUUUCCAAAAAUCCCAAAAUGAUUUCUUAACAGAAAUCCAAAAUAGACUUGAUGCCUUGGAAAGUUAGAAGUCUAAAUUAGUUGCACCUGAUACCUCAAUCCAAGUCCAAUACUCAGUAAAUACAUUAUACCAAUCUUCCCAAUUUGACUUUGACCAGUCAGAUGAACAAUAAAUUAACAAAAUGGCUUGGAAAGAAUAAAAAAUGCUAUAUUAUCCAAAAAUCAUUGCACCUAAUCUUAAUAUAGAAUAAAACUUGUUUUCCAAAAUAAAUACAAUGCUAAUACAAUUUAUGAAUAGAAUAUAGACGGAAUAUCUAAUAUAAUACUCCCAAUUUAUUUCAACAAAUGCCAAUGGUUUCAAAUGUUUAUAAAUCUCAAAACCAAAAUGGAUUAAUUAGUGAUUAUGUUAUAGUCAAUUUUUUAAUUGUUGGUUUACUGGUCAUAAAGGAUGGUGGGACCCUGCACUUACUAAAACACAACAAGAAGAAAUCUUGAAAGUAAUAAGAAAAUAUAUUCAAUGAAGAAUUAUUUUGGAUGAACCAAGAAGAGAAAUCCAAGAUGCAGUACCAUAACAGAAACAAAUCUCUUUUUUAAAAAGAAGAAAUGUUUUAAAAAAUUGAUUGAACAAUUAGAAAAAAGAGAAGUCCAAAAAAAUUGAUAAAUCAAAUAAAAGAUGAAAUAGAAUGAACAAUUUGUUCUGACAUUCCUAAUGCUUUUUUGAAAAUAGGAAAAAACAUGAAGUAACAUUACCAUAUCAAAAUAAUUUUGAUGAAAGACGAAUGCCAGCAAAAGGAAGGUCAAUACAAAUGAACAAAGAAACGGAAGAAUUGUGUUUAAAAGAAAUACAAGAUCUUCUUAAUAAAAAAAAUAAUCAGGAAAAGCAGUUCUCUUUAGAGUUGUUCAGCAUUUUAUGUAUUGAAAAAUGAAGAACUCGAAAGAGAAACACCAAUAUUAGUAAUUAAGUACAAACCUCUCAAUUAAGCUUUAAAAUGGAUUAGGUGCCCAAUCUCAAAUAAAAAAAGGUUUGUUACAAAAACUUUGCAAUUCAAAUAUUUUCUCAAAAUUUGACAUGAAAUCAGGAUUUUGGAAAAUCCAAAAAAAAGAAGAAGAAAGAUACAAAAUGACAUUUACUGUACCAUUUGGACAAUAUGAUGGAAUGUGAUGCCUUUUGGAUUAAAAAAAUACUUCAUCUAAAUUUCAAAGAAUAAUGAAUUUCAUGUCAUUCAAAACCGAAAAUUCAUUAUUCCAUUAAUAAAUAAUCCAAAAGGCAUCACAUUCUAUUCAUAUUGUCCAAAUGGUAUAGUAAAUUUUGUUUUGUAUCCUUCUUCUUCUUUUAUUUGGAUUUGUCAAAAUCCUGGUUUCAUGUUAAAUUUUGAGAAAAUCUUUGCAUUGCAGAGUUUUGUAUCAAAUAUUUUUUAUUUGGGAUUGGUACCUAAUCCAUUUUAAAGCUUCAUUAAGAGGUUUGUAAUUAAUUACUAAUCUUGCCAUUCUUUUUUCAAGUUCUGCAUUUUUUAUUACAUAAAAGGUUGAACAACUCCAAUGACAACUGCUUUUCUUGAUUAAUUUUUUAUUAAUAAGAUAUUAUAUUUCUUUUUUACAAAUUCUUUCAUUUCUUUGUUCAAUUGUAUUGACCUCGCUUUUGUUGGUAUUUGUCUUUCAGAAAAAUUAUUUUCAUAUAGUAAAGUUACUUCAUGCUUUUUCCUAUUCCAAAAAGCAUUAAGAAUUUCCAAACAAAUUAUUGAUUCUAUUUCUUCUUUGAUUUGAUUUAUCCUUUUUUGAACUUCUCUUUUUUCUAAUUGUUUAGUUAAUUUUUUAAAACAUAUUUCUUUUUUAAAAAAAAGAGAUUUGCUUAUGUUUAUGAUUAAUUAAAUUAUUGAUUUGUCCAUUAUAGAUGGAUAAAUAUUUUAAUAAGUUGAGAUUUCUUAUUUUGGGUUUUUCUACAAAAUAAAAUUCUACUUUAGUGUUUAAAAAUUUGUUAGGGAUUGAAUUAUUUGUUACUUUAUAUGGCUUGAGUAAGGAUAUGAAUGAUGUUCCUAAUAUUCUUUGUAAUUUGUCUAUUUUUUUUUCAAUAUUUAUUAAAUAUUAUGUCUUGUAUAUUAUACAUUUGUGAUUGAUUAGAGAUAAUUUUUUUUUCUUUUUUGGGUUUAUCUUUUAAUGAGGAUUUUAAUUUCAAAAGAUAUUCUCUUUUAAGUUCUGGGUCUUGAAUUUUAUCAAGAACUUCAAUCAUGAACUCUUGGGUUUUAGUUAACAUAUUAAUUGAAGGUUCAUUUUCAUCAGAGGAUUGGGGUGUUGUAUGUAAUUCGUUUAUUUGUAAUUCAUCUGAUUCAAUAGAUGUAUCAUUUUCAAAGGAAGUUGUUUCUAAAAGAAUUUCAUUAGUUUUUUUGUUCAAUUUCUUCAUGCAGAUUUAAAUUAUUGAUCUUUCUUUUAAUCUUGCAAUAUUUUGAUAUGUGUCCUGGUUUUCCACAUCUGUAACAUUUUAUUGUUUUAUCUAUUUUAUGUUCUAAUUUUUCUUUUGUUUCUUUUCUAUAUUUUCUAUACUUGGGCUUUUUAUAAUAUUUUGAAAUAUUCUUUCUCCUAUUCUUUUUUUUACCGUGCAACAUGUUUUUGAAGAAGGUUUAUUUCUAAUGUCAAAUUAGCGGCAGAAUGAUCCUAAUUCCUUUCUACAUCUUUCUUUUUUAAGUUGUUUUGUAAUUUUAAAUCUUGACAAAUUUUUAAUCCUUUGGGUGAAACUAAUUAAUUCACCAUAUGUAAGUUUUCCAUAUGGAAUAAUACCUCUGUAAUUUUCUCUAAUUUGAUUUCUAACCUUUUCUCUUAAUAAAAUGGAAAGUCUUGCUAGAAACUUUUCUUUUCAAAAUGGUUGUUGGUUAUCAGAUCUUUGCAUAACUCUGGUCAUAAAGAUAUCUUUAUACCAUUUAAAAUCAGUUAAUUUUUUGCAUUUUAAAUUUGAUAAUAAUUCAAAUUUUCUAUCUUUAAGAUGAGAAGGAUCUUCUAUAAGGUGUUUAGAGAUUAAGAAAAUUAGGGUUGCUACUUCAUCUUAGAUUUCUCUUCCUUGUUCAUCCAAAUUAAUUCUUUCUUGAUCAUCUUUUUUAUUACUUUCAAGAUUUCUUCUUGUUGGGUUUUAGUGAGUGCAUGGCCCUACCAUCCUUUUAAUUGACCAGUAAACCAUCAACUAAAAGAUUGACUAUAACAUGGUCACUAAUUAAUCCAUUUUGGUUUUGAGCUUUAUAAACAUUUGAAACCAUUGUCAUUUGCUGUAAUAAACAGAGAAUAUUAUUAUUCAAACAUUCCGUCUAUAUUCCAUUCACAAAUUGUAUUUGUAUUGUAUUAUUUUGGAAAAUAAGUUUUUCUUCUAUAUUAAGAUCAGUUGUAGUGAUUUUUGGAUAAUAUAAUCUUUUUGGUUCUUUCCAAGCCAUUUUGUUAAUUUUUUCUUCAUCUGACUGGUUAGGUUCAGAUUGGGAAGAUUGGUGUAUUGUAUUUACUGAGUAUUGGGCUUGCGUUGGGUAUCAGGUUCAACUAAUUCAGACUUGUAACUUUCCAAAGCGUCAAGUCUAUUUUGGAUUUUUGUUAAGAAAUUAUUAUGGGAUUUUUGAAAAGGUUUUGGAAUUUCAUUGGGUGUAAAUAUUAGUUCUUUAGAACUCUUUUCAGUUACCUCUUUUAUUGAUUCUUUCUUUAUUGGUUGACUUUUUACUAAAUUUUUAAUAUAAUCUAAUUGUUUUCCUAUUGUAUAAAGAUUGAUAUUGAUAUAGUUGUUUUGUUCUACUAUCAUUUUAAUAUCUUUUAAUGAGGUUUAUUUUCUUGCAUCAAGAGCUCUCAUUCUUAAAGGACUUGCUUUUAUUUCAGUAUUUUUGUGAAAAGAUUGAACCUCCAUUAAAAGGGGAUGUUGAGAUUCUACUUCUCCUUUAUUGGUUUUGUCAUCUAGUAUUAUCUUUUUAUCGUAUUAAUAGAUUCUACAUAAUAUUAUUCAAACCAUUCAAUGAAUUUUAUAUGAAUUUUAUGGGAAAUCAUGAAUUCAUAAUAUGCCUAAAGAAUACUCUCCUUUUUAUUUUUAUGAUUUUUAAAGUAAUCUUAUCUUUUUUGUUUAUUUUAUUUGGAUUAGAAGUGUUUUCUACACCAUUUUUUUUAUCUCAAAAGAUUUUUCUUGAACAAAUAUUUCUAAAUUUUGUCCUUGUCUUGCAUUAUUAGUCAUUGAUGAGUAUGUUGGUGACAUAUUAGGUUUCCUGUUUGGCAUAGAUAGGUUGAGCUAUAUUUGAAGAAUUAUCUAUUCCUUGUAAAUUAGUCCUAAAUGUUGUUGGGAUAGAAGAAACAGAAACUCUAGCUGUCCUAAAUCUACCGUUUAUGUUUCUGGAUUUGAUUCUUUUUCUAAAUUUAACCUCUUAAAAGUUGUGCUGUUACUUUCUAUUUCAAAGAAAUGUUUUGGAGGCAUUCUUAGUGGCUUGUUGAAUAUCAAUUCAACUGUGCCACUUUGGAGUUUGGAAAUUUCACUUAGUGAAGUGUUUCUAAUAGGAGUUGGUGCAAUAGGGUCUGUAGCACCUUAAAGUUUCCACCUAACAGGAAGGUUGAUUUUAUGCCAUUGUAUUCUUCUUGGGAUUGUGGUAUGAGAUCUUGAGGUAUCUGUUCCUAUUAAAAGGGUUUCUCCUUUGGGGCUUUGAAGUAAAGCCUUAGUAUUGACUACAUAAUACAUAACUUUGAAAUGGAGCUGAUAGACUAAAGAUAGAACUUCUGAACUAGGAAGCAUUUUGUAACUAUGGGUAUGAAUUUGGAGGGUCAAAGAUUGUAAAAUAUUUCCAUCAGUUAAAGAAACCAUAGAAUUUGGGUAACAAUCUAAAUGUAUUGGGCCAGGAAGUAUGCUUGUUUCUAUAGUUCCUAGUAAUGAGUCAUUAAAUAUAAUGUGUCUCUCUUCUUUUAAGAUAAUUAAUAUUGAGAUACUUUUAGUGGCUUAAACACUAAGAGGUUUGAUACCAACUUGGACUAAUCCAAAAUGGACAUAUUGAUAUUUUUGUUCUUUGAGUUUAUUAAUAAUGACCUUAUCUAAUAAUUGGAUUGUUUCAUAUUCUUUUUAAAUAGGUAAAAUUUUUUCUUUUGUUUUGAAUAGGUAAAUUGAGGUGUUACUAGGCUUUAGUAUGAUAUUGGUAUGGUGAUGCUUAAAUAAUGAAUGAUGUGUACGAUAAGUAGGCAUUGGAUUGGAUUGGAUUUGGUUGAAAUGUGGCAUAUUGGUUAGGCAUUUUAAGUUGUCUUUUUGGAAUGUUAAUAUUUAUAUUUUAAGUAAGUUUUGAUGUUAAUGAAAGAGUGCAUUUUAAGUCUUAUUGAAUGUUUACACAAAACUAGGCAUUUGGAGACAUAUUCUUGACCACACGGUUUGACACACGGUCGUGUGUUACAUACGGGCUAGUGACAUUGUAACACCUCUAACCUGUCUCCAUCGUCAGAUUAGGGUUACAAAGCAUUACUAAACAAUCUAAACAACAUUUAAAUCAUAACAUUAAAUAAACUAAUCUCAUUAAAAAUCAAUCAAACAUAUGCAUUUGGUCCCUAAAUCGAGCCUUCGAAGCCAUAAAAGUAGCUUAGAAGCAAUUCGGGACUAAUUUCAAACAAAACAGAAGAUUUGGGAAAAAGUUGAAAAAUUUGAAAAAAAGGGUCACACAGCUGUGUGGCUAGGUUGUGUGACACAUCCCAGGUCGUGUAACAAUAAAAAAAAGGGACACACGGCCAUGUCUCCACCCGUGUAACUCAUUGAGUUGGGUCACACGGUCGUGUCACAUGCCGUGUGCUAGAUCGUGUAACUCUCUAAUUUGCAACACAUGGUUGUGUCGCAGGCCAUGUGCUAGGUUGUGUAAGUCACUGAAUUAAUACAAUAAGAAUUUACAAAUGACACACGCCCGUGUAGCCAGGCCGUGUGUGUCACACGGGCAUGUGACAAUCCGUGUCUCAGGUCGUGUGAUCCAUAUUUUGACCUUAAAAACAUUCCCUUUCAAGGCCAAGACAUACCUAACCAUCCAUCCCAUUUGUGCACACAUUCAAUUGACCUAAACAUCAUUUAAACACUUAUAAACAUACCAUUUCAAACAAACUAUUUCAUCUAACCAAUAUGCCACUCAAAGGCAUCACAUAUAUAUAUCAAAACAUCAUUAAUCAACAAAUCAAUAUGACCAUACUUCAAGCACAAAACCUAGUUCGUUUAUCUACCAAUUGAUAUCAUCAAUGGCCAUUUACAUGCCAUCAUAACAUACCAAAAAAGUGUCUUAUAAACAAGCACUUAAGAAUGGCCAAAGAUGACCUAACUUGUCAAGGUUCCAAAGCUCAUCAAACCAAACAUAAACUUCAAAAGCAUAUACAUACCAAAUCAACCAUUACACAUUCAAGAACUACCAUAAUAAAAGGGUCCUAUACAUGCCAUUUAUAAUCAUGGCCAAGAUACACAAAAACUAUUGAAAUGAUUGCUAGAUAAUGUGAUAGAUUUUUGACAAGCCUCCAACUGAUCAAGCUUUCGAUACUUUAUAAAAUAAAGGAAAGUAACUAUGUAAGCAACUAGCGCUUAGUAAGCUCAUAUAAACUCAGAGAUAACUUACCAUUUCUUUAGUACAAACUAUAGAAUAAGCAUAAUAUCAUUACCAAGACCAUAAGCUUAGUAAAAGCCUAUACAAGUAUCAUUAAACUCACAAGUUAGUAGGUUCAUCGAUGAUACAUAUGAGUUCAAUCAUAUAAUAAGUAUAUUUCAUAUACAUAUCAUUUAACUCAUCAACCUUUUCAUAAGAACAUGAACCAUUUCAAUUAUAUACUUAUCAUGUCAUUUCCUUUACUUACCUGUUGAACCAUCUAGAAUUACAUCGGAUACUCGAGAAUGCUCACACAUAGUAUGCCUUUCCAUAUAACUGUAACCUUUCCUUUUCAAUAGUGCUCACACGAAUUGUGAAACAGGCCUACUCAAAUGAGCUGUAGGUCGGAAUGUUAGCUUCACUAUGCUGCUCAUAUGAGCUGUGGAGAAUCCGCAACAAAUGCAAAACCUCAGCCAUCGACAAUACAUUCAAGAUCAGCACCCGAAACAUGAAAUCCCUAAUGACAUGUCAUACGUAUCCUAAAAAUUCUUAAGAUUCAAACGGGAUUCAUUUUUUGUUAAUUACUCAAAACAUCGAUUCAUAAGCAUUUUCAAGUCCAUUUAUAUUAACACAAUAUAGUAAAUAAUCAAUUUAGCUGUCAUGAAAAUGAUUAUAAUUCAUACGAACUCACCUCGAUAACUAUAGUCAUAGAACUUGAGUUGAAAACUAAUCUGAAGCUUUUGCCUUUCCUCGACUUCAAUCCGGUUGUUGUUUAUCUUGAUCAUGCAUUUGAAAUAAACCUUUGUCAAACUCUCUUCCUUCUCUAAUGGCCAUUUUAGGUUUUUGAAACAAAGAUGGUUUCUUUUAUCUUUUAUUUACUUAAUUUUUCUUUUAUUUACUAAAUUAUUGCUUUAACCUUACUAUUAAUAAAAAAUUUCAAUAAACCUUAUGCAUAACUAUCCACUAACUUAAUUAUGGUAUAUUUACCAUCUAAGUACAUUAACUUUCCUUUCCAUGCCAUUUAACCCUUUAGACUAAUAGAUACUCACUUUUGUAACUUUUACGAUUUAGUUAUUUUUACCUAAUUUCCCAUUUAAACUUCAAAAUUUAUUAACGAAAUGUUAAUACGACCUUAAUAUAAUCACGUAGACAUUAGAUAAAUAAUAAAAUAAUAACUCACUCAUCAAAAUUGUGGUCCCAAAACUAUUGUUUCUAACACCACUAAAAUUGGGCCGUUACAGACAUGAUCGUAUGCUUUUUUGGAAUUGGAAUGAUAGUGUCCCUUAUAGUCACCAAUUAGUUACAUGGCCUAGCCACACGACCGUGUGACUAUAGCACACACAAAAGCUGUCAAAAUGGUUGCUGGAUAGUGUGAUAGAUCUCCAACAAGCUUCUAACCGAUCAAGCUUUCGAUAAUCUAUAAAAUAAAGGAAAGUAACUAUGUAAGCAACUAGUGCUUAGUAAGCUCGUAUAAACUCAAAGAUAACUUACGAUUUCUUUAGUACAAACUAUAGAUUAACCAUAAUAUCAUUGCCAAUACAAUAAGCUUAGUAAAAGCCUAUACAAGCACGGUCAAACUCAAAAAUUAGUAGGUUCAUCGAUGAUACAUAUGAGUUCAAUCAUAUAAUAAGUAGAUUUCAUAUACAUACCAUUUAACUCAUUAACCUUUUCAUAAGAACAUGAACCAUUUCAAUUUUAAACUUACCAUGCCAUUUCCUUUACUUACCCGUUGAACCAUCUAGAAUUACAUCGGAUACUCGGGAAUACUUACAUAUAGUGUGCCUUUCCAUAUGACCGUAACCUUUCCUUUUCAAUAGUGCUCACAUGAGCUAUAAAAUGGGCUUGCUCACACGAGCUGUGGGUCGUGAUACGUGAUAUUCAUGACAUGUUUUAAAAAUUUAUAAUUAAUCAUUCUUGAAACUAACUAUUAUCACGAUGAAGGCAAGUGUACCUAUCGAAUAGUAGUAUAGCUUUAGCAAGACCGGAUUGUUAAACCCAAAGGAACCAAUAGUACUAGUAAUUACUUUUUUUAUUAUGUAGCCUAAAAAUUAUGGGAUUUGUUUAUCUAAACUAAUUAACUAAACUAAGAGUGCAUAGAGAGAGAUUGGGGAAAAUCUUUUGGGAAAAUUCAAUUGAUUAAGACAAUACCCAAGGAAAAAUCCACCUAGACUUCACUUAUUAUUUGGCUCUGAAUCAGACGAUUUAUUCAUUUGACUUGAUCCGUAGAAAUCCAUAAGUUAUAUUAUUAUCUCUCUCGAGACUAAUAUCUCUAACCCUAGGUUGAUUAAUUGAAAUCUCUUUCUAAUUAAUGCCCUAGUGUUGCAUUAACUCGAUCUAUGGAUCCCCUUAUUAGGUUUCACCCUAAUCCAGCAAAAUCUUAUCACCCUAUCUCUAGGCGUGCAUCAACUCCGCUUAAUUAUGAAAAAUUUACUCUUAGAUAGGUACUUUUGCUCCUCUGAAUAACCGCAUUAACUUGAAUCAAUAUCCUGGAAUAUUAAGACAAGAAUUAAGGACACAUAAUUAAGGACAAGUCAAAUAUUUAUCAUACAAUUCAGAUAAUAAUAACAAAAUCCAUCUUAGGUUUCAUUCCCCUUAUAUAAAAUAAAACAUCUCAGAAGAAUGAUGAAUACAGAACAUAAAGAAAACCCAAAACCCCUGAAUGGAAAUUGAAGGGAGAUCUUCAAUCUUGACGAUGAAUCCGGCUUCUGAGAUGGAUCAAUCAGCUUCCCUUGAGUAAUUCCUUGCCUCCUACUCUGUGUGUUUGUUCUAAGUGCCUCCUCAGUUGUUUAAAUAGGCUUUAGAAUGCCUAAGAGCCCUCAAAACUGGCCUUUUCCGAAUAGGACUAUACUUGGGCUCGACAGGGACACGCCUGUGUGACACGCCAGUGUGCGAUUGCUCCAGACUAUGGUCAAAGCUGUUAAAUAGGCACGGGCGUGUAGUCUGCCCGUGUAAGUCGUGCUUCGAUCCUGCCAAAUGGACACGGCCAUGUGAGGAAGUCCAGGCUGUGUUGAUUUCCCAUGUGGGUCCAUUUUCUCCGUUUUUGGCCCGUUUCUCGCUCUUUUUACUCUCCUAUGCUCACCUAAGUAUAAAACAUGAAAUUAAAGAAUUAGGAGCAUCGGAUUCACCAAAUCUAAGGAGAAACCAUCCAUAAAUGUGCUAAGAAUGGGAUAAAAAUAUGUAUAAAUUACGAUUUAUCAGGUCGAAAUGUUAGCUACACGAUGUUGCUCACACGAGUUGUGGAGAAUCUGCAACAAAUGCAAGACCUCAAGCAUCGGUAGGAAAUUCAAGACCAAGACUCGAAACAUGAAAUCCCUAAUGACAUGUCAUUCGUAUCCUAAGAAUUCUUAAGGUUCAAACGAGAUUCAUUUUCCAUUAAUUACUCAAAACAUUGAUUCAUAAGCAUUUUCAAUUCCAUUUAUAUUAACACAAUAUAGUAAAUAAUCAAUUUAGCUAUCAUUAAUACAAUUAUAAUUCACAUGAACUUACCUCAAUAACUAUUGUAGUAGAAGUUGAGCUGAAAACUAAUCUAAAGCUUUCGCCUUUCCUCGACUUAAAUCAGAUUGUUGUUUAUCUUGAUCAUGCAUUUGAAAUAAGCCUUUGUCGAACUCUCGUCCUUCUCCAAUGGCUAUUUUAGGUUUUUUGAAACAAAGAUGGAGAAGAAAACAUCUUUCUUUUAUCUUUUAUUUACUUAAAUUUUCUUUUAUUUACUAAAUUACUACUUUAACCUUACGAUUAAUAAAAUUUUUUUAGUAAAACCUUGUCCAUAACUAUCCACUAACUUAAUUAUGGUAUAUUUACCAUCUAAGUACAUUAAUUUUCUUUUCCAUAGCCAUUUAUCCCUUUAGACUAAUAGAUACUCACUUUUGCAACCUUUACGAUUUAGUCAUUUUUACUUAAUUAACUAUUUAAACUUCAAAAUUUAUUAAUGAAACUUUAAUACAGCCUUCAUAUAAUCCCGUAGACAUUAAAUAAAUAAUAAAAUAAUAACUCACUUGUCAGAAUUAUGGUAACAAAAUCACUAUUUCUGAUACCACUGAAAUUGGGUUUUUACAACUUUCCCCCUAAAUGAAUUUUCGUCCCAAACAGUCUUACUAGAAAAUAGGUUCAGGUAUUGCACUUUCAUGGCUUCUUCCAGUUCCCAUGUAGCUUCCUCAACUCCAUGAUGUUUUCAGAGAAUUUUAACUAAUGCUAUACGUUUAUUCCUUAACUCUUUAACUUCUCGAGCUAAAAUUUUAAUUGUUUAUUCACUGUACGACAUAUCUGGCUAAAUUUCAAGAUCAACCAGUUAAAUCAUGUGUGAACAAUUAGACAGAUACUGUAACACCCUUACCCGUGUCUGACGUCAGGACAGGGUACGAGGCAUUACUGGACUUAAACGUAAGCAAACAUAUAAAAUUGAGCCAUAAAAUUUCAUCCAAAUUUAAAGCUUUUCAAUCACAUACAGAUUGUCCCUUAUAAGGGCCUACGAGGCCCAAAACAUACAUCAGAAGCGGUUCGAGACUAAUCCGAAAACUUUCAGGACCUCGGGAUAACUUAGAAAAUUUUCUUGUUUUAGAGAGUCAAACAUCCUUGUAGGUAGGCCGUGUGAUCACACAAGCUCGUGUCCUUAGCUCGUGUAACUCUCUAACUAUGAUGCCAUCAAAAAAAUAAGAUCACACGGCCAAAUCACAUGCCCGUGUGCUUAGGCCGUGUGGCGAAUUAAAUUCCAAAAUUUAAGUGCAGACUUCACACGGCCUGGGCACAUGCCAAUGUCCUAAGGCCGUAUCCUUCACACAGCUGAGACGCACAGCCGUGUCUCUGCCUGUGUGUUUACUACUGGACAUCCUGUUUUGCAUAAUUAGGGUGCAGGGGACACAUAGCCGGAUCACUUGCCCAUGGGGCAGACUGUGUGACACAACGGCCUAGACACAUGCUCGUGUGGCUAACCGUGUGGACAAUUUCUAGGCUAUUUUCCAAGCCAUUUGCCACCCUUAAACACUCACAUACUCACACUUCCUUAAUGACAUACAACAUGGCAUAUUUGAUUACUCAAGCACUCACAUUUAUGGUUAAAUUAUGACAUGGUAAGGUCAACAUAUCACCUAUUCAAAUUGUCAUGCUUUCAUAUAGCAUUCCACACUAAUUCCAUAUUUAUCUAUCAUCAUUGCUAACCUACUUUCAAGUUACACACUUGCACCACAUUUAUUGUCAUACACAUUAAUCACAUCUCAUACACCAAACAUACAUGCUAUCCAUCACACUCAUUAACCAUAAGCAACCAUAACCACAUUAAAGCAUAAACACAUUUGCAUGCAUGCAUCAAUAAUUAGGGUUAUAACCUAAAUAAUCAAUAUGAGUUACCUCUGAUGGCCAUAUACACAAUGAUCAUAAAUCCCAUCAGGAACCAACACACUUGGCUAAUCAAUAUGACACAUAACAAAAAGACCAAGUCCCUAUACAUGCCAUACUCAAAAUGAUAAGACUAACUAUACCCAAAUAUUCAAUUGAUAGUGUGAUCGAGUCUCCAACGUCCUUCGAUCCCCGAUCUAGCUUGGCGACACUAUAAGAAAACGAAAGGAAGGGGGUAAGGAUUAAAGCUUAGUAAGUUCACAUGCAAAUAAGAUGCAUCUUAAACAAGCUUAGUAAGUUCACAUGCAAAUUACGGUUUAUCAAAUAUGCCCACACUUAAGCGUUUGCUUGUCCUCAAGCAAAAUCCUCAAUUCACAAUCAAAAUAAACUCUUCUCAACUUAUAAUCCCUAUCGAUAAUAUCUCAAAGUAAACCAUAAGUAGUCAUACAUUGAGAAUUCAACUAGAAUAACAUCAAAGUUUCAAACAUUCCAAGCUGAGCAUUUUAUCACGAAAGCAUAGGUGUCUCCCCUCAUUUAAGUGAUUACCCUUGAUUCAAAAUAUCACAAUGUUUAACAUCCUCACUAAAGAUUCACUCAAAUCAAUUGAGGUGUUUAAGGACAAUAAAUAAAGCACUCAUUAGUCAAUAUGAAACGUUAUUACCAUACGCUUGCAUGAAAAUCAAAUCUCCACCACUAUAAAUUGAGAUGGUACAUCAAUCAAAAGAUAUUUAGAGAGUUGUAAUGUGGCUUUGGUAAUGGGGUGUGGUCGCAAGCUGAAAGAAAAUGUUAGAAUCGAGAUUGAAUUGAAAAAUUACCUAACUAGAAAAAUAACUAAUCAUUAAUUGAAUACAAGUGAGCUUCAAUUAAUACUUAAGCUAAAAAAAACGAUGAAUAACUACUAAAAUAUAUGUAUGUAUUGUAUUAUUAUUAUUGUUAUUAUCAUUAUUAUUUAGAACAAGUCAAAUAACAUAGGCUAUCUAUUAAAAAUAAAACAUAUCUAAGCAAUUUAUUCAAAUCAAAUCUCGAAAAAAAUAGGGAUCAAAUUAAUUUAGGGGAUUUCAACAAUAAUGGGUUAAAGGUUAAUGUUGAGGGUAAAUCAAUGAUUGGAUUGUUAGGCUCAAGGGGGUUCACUAAGGGUUAAUUGUGAAGGUAGGCUUUUAUGGAGUGAGUAGGUUAAACUUAAAUGCCUUUAUCAUCUAGACAUAUCAAAUCAAAUGGUGUGGUCUUGACAUGCAUAAUCAAGCAAGUUCUAGAAUGACAAUUCAAUAUUGACGCACUCAAAGCAACAAUAAAAGUGAGCAUGAAAGAAACAAUAGAUGCUCUAAAGGCUCAAGAUCUCACAAAAAUUAUGGCUUUUUGAUGUUUAAACCUAUGAAUUUCAACUCAAGAUAAUACCUAAACUUGGGGAAACAACCUAAAAAUUUUUAAUUCUCAAAAAUCAACUUUAUCAUGCUUGAUUCUCUAAUUCCUUAAGGUUUGAAUAGUCAAUGCAUAAAUGCCUAUGUUUUAAUUCAAGACAUAUUAAUAGAAAAUUAUAAAUCAAUCAAAAUUCAUUCUAAUAAUGAUAUGAGAAGAUCAAAUGAGAAUAAGACAAAAUUCAGGGAUUUUUCUGAUAAUGAUAUAAAAGACAUCCCACACUUAAGAUGUACAUUUCCCUCAAUGUACAAAGUUAGAUUUACGACGGUAUAUAUAUAAGAUCAUAAGAUAGGGGGAGAAGUGAAACUUCGUGUGUGACGCCCCCAUGCCUGAAACCGUCACCGGAGUCGAGCUUGAGGAGUUACCGAACAUAAUUUAUCAAAAUAAGAACUUCAAAUCUUUUGUUUCUACAUUCACAGCUUUCUAGCUACUCGCGUCACAGUUACAAAAAAAAUCAUAUCUCGAGUUACGAAAUUCGAAAUGAAGAUCCAUAAAUUUUCCAUAAAUCUAGACUCAUAUAUAUAUUUACUAAUUUUUUUCUAUAAUUUUUGGUUGGGCCAAUUAGUACAUUUUAUUAGUUAAAGUCUCUCCUAUUUCAGGGUUCGACUGCUAUGACAUCUAUGUAUUACGAAUCAGAUAUCUCUCUAUACAGAAUUUCAAUGACUAUGAGGUUUGUUUCUAUUAAAACUAGACUCAAUAAGGAAUCUGUACAUAUAAAGAAUGACUUCUAAUUAUUUUUUUACAAUUUAUUAUGAAUUUGUAAAGUCAGAAUAGAGGAUCCAGAAAUCACUCUGGCCCUGUUUCACAAGGUUUCAAAUAUCUCAUAAAGUAUAAUUUAUAUGCCUGUUUUUUUAUCCAUAUGAAAAUAUACUCAUUAAGCUUAAAUUUCAUAACUUUCUCAUCAUUUAAUUCCAUUUAUACUAUUUUUAGUGAUUUUUGAAAUUCAUGUCAUUGCUGCAGCAAUAUUCUAUUUUAAGGCAAAUUUCAUCUUUUCAUGAGUUGUUAUGAACUAGAUAACCUAUUAAACUUCCAUGAUAUCAAACAUGAUCUAAAUUUAACCAUCACCAUGACUUAUCAAUAUCAAAUAUUUUCUCAACCAAUCAUGGCCAUAUCAUAAAAUUAUUUACACAAAAUAAAUAUAUUGCUAUACAUGCCAUACUUAAGUUUUACAAGCCAUUUACCCAGAUGAAAGUCCUUUGGAUAGUGUGAUCGAACCUUCGACCCGUCCCGAUUCCCGAGCUGGCUUGUUCAAAACUACAGUAAAUAAAGAGGAGGGAGUAAGCAUAAAUGCUUAGUAAGUUCAUAUGUAAAUAUCAAGUAACAUAACAAUACAAAUAUACCAAACAACUUUAGCAUGGUAUCACCAAAACAUAUAUCAUAUUUCUAAACAUCAUUCAUCAUCUUACUACCUUAUCGUUGUUGUAUCGCACGACCGUGUCUCCAUCCGUGGUGUGAGCAUGGCCUAAGGCAUGCCCGUGUGCAUGGCCGUGUGGAUUAGAAAACCUAUGUUUCAAGGACUCAGUUAGUGAUUAGAUGUGAAAAACUAAAAUGUUAAAGAAAUCAAUACUGUUAGUGCUCGGGUUGCCUCCCGAGAAGCGCUUAUUUAUAGUCUAAGCUCGACUUACUUCGAUCUCGCAUAGUCAUGGUGGUUCGAGGAGUUUACACUCCUCAUCCCUGCUAUCAAUUUUAUCAAAAUAAGGUUUUAGACGAGUAUUAUUUACCUUGAAAGUGCCAAAUUUAGGAUGAAUUACCUCGACUGUACCGUAUGGAGAAAUAUUGAGCACCGUGAGAGGAAUUUCUCCAUUUGAUUCAGAAGUGGCAAUACAAGGAUCUGCUGCAUCCAGUAGUUCUUUGUCUCCAACCUUAAGUUGAUUUGGUGGAAUAUUGAUCUCGUCAAGGCGUGGUUUUGGUUUAUGUGUCUACCAUUCAUCUAGUUCCUUAACUCGUAGCCUUCGUUCUUCAUAGAUAGGUCCUUUGUUGUUGCUUGAACACAACUCAUGUGCACUUUUCGAACUUGUUUUCUAUACAGAGGGUUUCACCACAUGAUCAGUACUAGUAGUAUGAUUUAUGCAAUCACCCUCGACUUUUGAGGUGUUACUCGAAUUAUGAGCUUGAAGAGUGAUUGUUUCAUCACCUACACGAAGUGUGAGUUCACUUGUACCAACAUCAAUUAUCGUUCUAGUAGUUGCUAAAAAGGGCCUUUCUAAAAUUAAAGGCACGUUACUAUCCUCCUCUAUGUCUAGAACAACGAAAUCAACUGGGAAUAUAAAUUUGUCAAUUUAUCGACUACAUCUUCAAUAAUACCCCUAAGAAAUCUGAUUAUUUUAUCGGCUAAUUGAAUACUCAUCCUAGUUUGUUUGGGUUUCCCAAGACCUAGUUGCUUAAACAUUUUGGAAGGCAUGACAUUGAUACUAGCCCCUGCAUUACUAACAUCUAAGCUACCAAUUAAACAAGGAAUCGUAAAACUUCCUGGAUCUUUUAAUUUGUUGGCCAGCUUAUUCUGUAGUAUGGCUGACCAAACCGCAUUUAGCUCCAUAUGCAACGCCUCAUCCAACUUCCGCUUAAUUGUUAAAAGCUCCUUUAAGAAUUUGACUGCUUUUGGCAUCUGUGAAAGAGUUUCAAUAAACGGUAAGUUAAUAUAUAAUUUCUUUAAUAAUUUAAGGAAUUUACCAAAUUGUUCGUCUGUACGGUCUUUCCUUGUCGCAUUGGGGUAUGACACACGAGGUUUGUACUCUUUACUUACUGGUAUUUGUUCACUGUGGUCUACCUCAACUUUACUUUUACUUACCACGAUUCCUUGCCUUGGUUCUGGUUUAGGUUCCACUAACCCUUCCUUAUCUUGGAUGGUAAUUGCGUUGAGUUUUUCCCUUGGGUUAGAUUCAGUGUUACUUGGCAGGCUACCUUGUGGUCGUUCAGAUAUUAAUUUGGCGAGUUGUCCUAUCUGAGUUUCGAGCCCUUGGAUUGAUGCUUGUUGAUUCUUAAGUGCUGUCUCGGUAUUCUAAAAAUGAGUUUUUGACACUGAGAUGAAUUUUGUUAGUAUCUCUUCAAGGUUUAACUUUUUCUCUUGUUGGUAGGGUGGUUGUUGGAAGCUAGGAGGUGGUGGUCUCUGAUUCCUUUUGGCCUUCUCAUGAGAAAUUGGGGUGGUUCCUCCAAUCUGCAUUGUAAGUGUUACUAUAAGGAUUAUUACCCAUGUAAUGUAACUACUCGUUCUCCAUGUAGUGGCCAUAGGGUGGGUAUUCUGAAUUGCUUGAUUCACCUCCACUUGCUUUGCACUGCAUUACUGGGUGAACCUAUGAAGAACCAAGAAAACCGUCAAUUUUUCUAUUCAAAAGUUCUAUCUGAUUAGAGAGCAUGGUGACCGAAUUGAUGAUAAAAAUGUCGGUUGUUUUCUUUGGCUUUGUCCUCAUGACUUGCCACUGAUAAUUAUUAAGUGACAUCUCUUCUAUAAAUUCAUAAGCAUCCUCAGGUGUCUUAUUAUUGAUAGUUCCACCAGCAGUCGCGUCAAUCAUCUGUCUAGUCGAAGGAUUCAAGCCAUUGUGAAACGUUUGAACCUGUAGCAAGAGUGGUAAGCCAUGGUGAGGGCAUCUUCUUAAAAGGUCCUUGUAUCUCUCCCACGCAUCGUAGAGUGUUUCUAAAUCCAUCCGCAUAAAAGAAGAGAUAUCAUUACGUAAUUUAGACGUUUUAGCUGGUGGAAAAUAUUUUAAUAAAAACAUUUUCGGUCAUUUGUUCCCAAGUAGUGAUUGACCCUCGUGGUAACAAGUUCAACCACUGUUUAGCUUUGUUCCUCAAUGAAAAGGGAAAUAACCGAAGAUGAAUGGCAUUAUCAGAAACGCCAUUGAUUUUAAAUGUAUCGCAAAACUCCAGAAAUUCACCAAAUGAGUGUUGGGAUCUUGGUCCUGCAAACCAUCAAACUGAACAAAUUGCUGUAUCAUUUGAAUUGUGUUAGGUUUCAGUCCAAAAUUAUUUGCAGCAACAGCAGGCCUAACUAUGCUUGAUUCAGUUCCUGUUAAAGAAGGUUUAGCAUAAUCAUACAUAGUACGUAGAGCAGGAUUCUGAUUAGCAGCAAUCGCAGGAGGUAGCGGAUUUUCCUAGUUUGCAGCCAUCUCCUUGGUUGUGGUUGAAGUAUCGUUCUCUUGCUCUUUCUCUGUGUAUCUUAAGCUUCGCCUUAUUUCUCUUCAGUUUCUGCGAACUGUGCGAUCGAUCUCACUAUUGAAAAGUAAUGGUCCUGACGGGUUUCUUCUAGUCAUAAACUAGAAAAACCUGUCAGAAGAAAAUAAAGUAAAAGUUAGAAAAGUGAAAUUAAACUAAAAAUAGAUUGCACUAAAAGUAAAUAUGGCUAAAGUAAUAAAAAUCGAAUGUUCCUAAUAUCUUAGUUCCCCGACAACGGCACCAAAAAAAGUUGAUACGUGAUAUUCGUGACAGGUUUUAAAAAUUUAUAAUUAAUCGCUCUUGAAACUAACUAUUAUCACAAUGAAGGCAAGUGUACGUAUCGAACAGUAGUAUAGCUUUAGCAAGACCAGAUUGUCGAACCCAAAGGAACCAAGAGUACUAGUAAUUACUUUCUUUUUAUUAUCUAGCCUAAAAAUUAAGGGAUUUGUUUAUCUAAACUAAUUAAUUAAACUAAGGGUGCAUAGAGAGAAAAUUGGGGAAAAGCUUUUGGGAAAACUCGAUUGAUUAAGACAAUACCCAAGGAAAAAUCGACCUAGACUUCACUUGUUAUUUAACUCUGAAUCAGACGACUUAUUCAUUUGACUUGAUCCGUAAAAAUCCAUAAGUUAUAUUAUUAUCUCUCUCGGGACUAAUAACGUCUAACCCUAGGUUAAUUAAUUGAAAUCUCUUUCUAAUUAACACCCAAGUGUUGUAUUAGCUCGAUCUAUGGACUCCUUUAUUAGGUUUCACCCUAAUCUGAAAAAAUCUUGUCACCCUAUCUCUAGGCGUGCAAUCAACUCCGCUUAAUUACGACAAAUUUACUCUUAGACAGGGACUUUUGCUCCUCUGAAUAAGCGCAUUAAUUUGAAUCAAUAUCCUAGAAUAUUAAAAAAAGAAUUAAGAACACAUAAUUAAGAACAAGUCAAAUAUUUAUCAUACAAUUUAGAUAAUAAUAUUAAGAUCUAUCUUAGGUUUCAUUCCCUUAGGUAUUUAGGGGGUUUAGUUCAUAAUUAUGAAAGAAAACAUCUCAAAAGAGUAAAGAUAACAAAACAUAAAGAAAACCCAAAACUCCUGAAGAAAAUUGAAGGGAGAUCUUCAGUCUUGACGAAGAAUCUGGCUUCUGGGAUGGAUUAAUCGGCUUUCUUUGAGUAAUUCCUUGCCUUCUACUCCAUGUCCCUCGUUCUAGUGCCUCCUCAGGUGCUUAAAUAGGCUUUAGAAUGCGUAAGAGCCCUCAAAAGUGGCCUUUUCCGAAUAGGACUAUACUUGGGCUCGACAGGGACACGCCCGUGUGCGAUUGCUUUAGACCAUGGUCAAGGCUGUUAAAUAGGCACGGGUGUGUGGUCUACCAGUGUAAGUCGUGCUUUGAUUCUGCCAAAAGGACAUGGCUGUGUGGACUACCCGUGUAAGGAAGUCUAGGCCGUGUUGAUUUCUCAUGUUGGUCCAUUUUCUCUUUUUUCGGCCAGUUUCUUGCUCUUUUUAUUCUCCUAUGCUCACCUAAGUAUAAAACAUGAAAUUAAAGGAUUAGGAGCAUUGAAUUCAUCAAAUCUAAGGAGAAAUCAUCCAUGAAUGUGCUAAGCAUGGGAUAAAAAAUGUAUAAAUUACGGUUUAUCAAAUACCCCCACACUUAAGCAUUUGCUUGUCCUGAAGCAAAAUCCUCAAUUCAUAAUCAAAAUAAACUCUUCUCAACUUAUAAUCCCUAUCGAUAAUAUCUCAAAGUAAACCAUAAGUAGUCAUACAUUGAGAAAACAAAACAUGUGUCACAUACAUCAUGAACUCAGACCACAACUAGAUGAGCUCAGAUGUCACAUAUAUCAUGAACUCAGACCAUAACUCAAUGAGUUCAGAUCACAUUGUUCCUAGUGACAUGUCACUUGUAUUCUAAAGUAUUCCUAAGGUUCAAACGGGAUUCUUUGAUACCACAUUUCCAUUGAGCUUGCUCGUAGUGUCAAUUUCAAUACUCGUAGCACCAAUCACAUACUCAUGGAAUAAUUAAGUCAUCAUUCAUAAUAAAAAUGUAAGCAUUUAAACACAUGAUACAAUGUCACAUUAAUUAUAUAUACUUACCAUACAUGCAAUAUCAAACAUCUAAAGAAUGGUAUAUGUUGCAUUAUUUGCAAAUGAACUUACCUUGGCACAAAAUGAUAGAAACGAGCCUAAUCCUCGUAAACUUUGUUUUUCCCUUGAUCAAGACUCAAAUCAUGUUUUUCUUGAUCUAUGAUGCCAAAUUCAACUUGCUCAAUACAUACAUUGCUUAUAUCGACCCAUAACACAUACUUUGGUAAAAUUCCUUUUUACCCUAACUUUUCACUUAUUUACACUUUAGUCCCUAGGCUCGUAAAAUGAAAUGCAUGCAUUUUUGUUGUUUCCCAAGCCUAGCCGAUUCAUAUUCUAACUCAUAUCAGCCUAUAUUUCUCAUUAAAACUCAUUUCUACUAUUAAUUUUUACACCUUUUUCAAACAAGUCCUUUUUUAACCAUAUUCACUAGAAAUUACUUAGUAAAAGAUGUUUAUCACACAUCAAACAUUUAUAUUCCUCCAUCAAACAUCAAAAUACAACCAUGUCAUACAUGGGUCAAAUUUUAUACAUGAAUCCUAGCUCAAAAUAAUGGUAGAAAUGGAUAGAUCAUGAAUCAAAGACUUAAAAAAUGCAAAGAACAUUACAAACGAGACUUGUGAGCACUUACAAUCAAGCUUGAAAGUUGAAGAAAAACCCUUGCUAUGUCCUUAGAAAUUUUGGUGCCCCCUUGAAAAAGAUGGGCAAGAUUUUCACUUCAUUUUCCCUUUUAAUUCUUUUAUUAACCAAAUGACAAAAAUACCCUUUUAGCCUUUCUUUCAAAUUUUAUCCAUGCAUGCCUAUUUUUGUCCAAAAAUGUGGAAAUUGGUCAAAUUUCUAUUUAAGGACCUCUAAUUAAUAAUCCAAAAAUGUGGAAAUUGGUCAAAUUGGCCUAGACACAUGCCCGUGUGUCUACCUGUGUGGACAACUUUGAGGCUAUUUUCUAAGCUAUUUGCAACCCUUAAACACUCACAUACAUAAUCUCACUUCAAGACAUGCAACAAAGCUUGUUUAGUCGCUCAAAUUCUCACAAUUAUGAUUAGUCCAUGACUUUGUAAUGUCAACAUAUCACAUGCUCAAACCAUCAUGCUUUCAUAUGGCAUUCCACACCAAUUUCAUAUUUAAUCAACCUUAAUAACCUACUUUCAAGUUACCCAAAUAUACCAUAGCUAUGGUCAUACCUAUUGGUCCCAAUUCAUUCAUUAAGCAUAUAUUCCAUCUAUCAUAAUUAUUACCAACAAGCAACCAUCAACCAUAUCACAAAGCAUAAACAGAUUACAUGAAUGCAUAAAUAAUUAGGGUUACAACCCAAGAAGCAAAUAUAAGCCACAUCUCAUGGCCUUAUACAAAAUGAAUCAUAAUACCAUUAUGAGCCAACUCAUUUGGCUAAUAAAUAUGACACAUAAUAAAAUGACCAAGUCCCCUAUACAUGCCAUACUCAAAAUACUUAAACCAUGUGUAUCCCCAAAAGAUUGAAUCGAUAAUGUGAUCUGUACUCCAAAGUCUUUUAAUCCCCGAGCUAGCUUGGCAAAACUAUAAAAGAUGGAAAGGAAAGGGGUAAGCAUUAAAGCUUAGUAAGUCCAUAUGUAAAUAAUAUGCGAUCUAAACAAGUAUUUAACAUGCAAUUAACAUAAUGAACAUAAAUUUGUAUUCCAUCAAUUCACUUACACUUACUCAUCAUAUAAACAACCUAGUCAUAAGAUCUUCACAUACCACAGCAUUAUUCAUGAGUUCUGUAUACAUACCUGUAUCAAAUCAUAACAUAAUCUCUUACUUUAUCAUCUUUGUAAUAUACAUCAGUUUACUCUUUGAAUUACCCGUUGAACGCUUGGAAUACUGUCAGAUACAUAGAAAGCUCGCACAUAAGUGCCAGAUAUGUAGCUAAAGCUACCUCAUAUCACAUAAUACAUAAAGGAUCAUUCUUGAAUUACUCACGAGUCUGCUCACACAAGAUGUUGGUCAGGACAUAGCUACACGGGCUGCUUACACAAGCUGUUAGGUAUCCGCAACACAUGUCAGACUACCUAGCCACUAGUAGAACGUACAAGACCAGCACUCGAAACCACAUAAACAUAUCUCAUGAGCUCAUAAAUCAUAUAGUUCCUAGUGACAUGUCACUUGUAUCCUAAACUAUUCCUAAGGUUCAAACGAGAUUUUUCGAUAUUACAUCUCUGUCAAGCUUACUUGUAAUGUCGAUCUCAGUGUCCAUAAUACCAACCACUUGCUCAUAGGGAAAUCAAGACAUAACUCAUAAUAACAUUAAAGAAUAUGAAUUCACAUAAUACUAAAGCAUCAAAAAUAUAACAUAAUAUCACAUUAUUUGUAUAUGAACUUACCUCGGUACAAAAUGAUGAAAACAAGUUUAUUUUUCGUAAACCUUGUUUUUCCCCCGAUUAAGACCCGAAUCACGUUUUUCUUGAUCUAUAAUGCCAAAUUUAACUUAUUUAAUACAUACAUUGUUCGAAUCGACUCAGAACACAUACUUUGGUAAAAUUGGUCUUUAGGCUCGUAAAAUGAAAUGCAUGCUUUUUUUUGUUACCCAAGCCUAGCCGAACUUAUAACAUGCUCCUAGCAGCCCACAUUUCUCAUUAAAACAUACAUCUUGCUACUUAUUUUGCAUUUUUUACAAAUAGGUCCUUUUCAUGCAUUUCUAUCAAAAAUCAUUUAGUAAAUGAUGUUAAACACACAUCAAACUUUCAUAUUUCUCUAUUAAACAUCAAUAUACAUGCAUGUCAUACAUGGGUAAAUUUUUGAACAUGAACCCUAGCUCAAAAUAAUGGUAGAAAUAGUUAGAUCGGUUGAUGACAACUUCAAAAAUGUAAAGAACAUUAAAAACGGGGCUAGGUGUACAUACAAUCAAGCUUGAAAAGUUGAAAAACCCUAGCUAUGGAACCUUUAGAAAUUUCACCUAUGGCAUGGAGAAGAUGAGCUAAUUUUUCUUGAUUUUACCCUUUUUAUUGUUUUAUUAACCAAAUGACAAAUAGGCCCUUAAGGCCUUUCUUUCAAAAUUUUCCUAUUCAUGCCCAUUUUUGUCCAAAAGUUUAGCACUUGGUCAAAUUACUAUUUAAGGACCUCUAAUUAAUAAUUCAUAACAAUUUUUCAUGCUUAAAGCUUCUAGAACUCAAGUUUUUCUAAUUAUUCAAUUUAGUCCCGAACUUCAAAUUGGGCACUUUAGGCAUAAAAUUUCUCCAUGAAAAUUUCACACAAACACGUAUUCAUAUCAUAGAUCAUCAAAUAAUCAUAAAAUCACUAUUUUGACUAGAACCUAAUUUUGGAUGUUACAACUUCAAAUUUGUGGUCUCAAAAUCACUAUUUCGACUAGAACCUAAUUCUGGAUGUUACAACUCUCCCCCCUUUAGGGAUUUUUGUCCUCGAAAAUCUCACCGGUGAAAAGAUUUGGGUAUUGGUUUCUCAUGGCCUCUUCAGGCUCCCAUGUAACCUUUUCAAGCCUAUUCCUUUCCCAUAACACUUUCACAAGGGCAAUACUUUUGUUUCUCAAUUGUUUGACUUCCCGAGCCAAAAUAUUAACCGGUUCCUCACCAUAAGUCAUAUAUGGUCGAAUCUCAACCUCUGUCGGUGAAAUCAAAUGUGAAGGAUCAGAUCAGUAGCGGCGCAACAUAGACACAUGGAACACAUCAGGAAUAUUUUCCAAUUUAGAUGGUAAGGCUAAGCGAUAGGUAAUUGGCCCUACUCUGUUGUUGAUCUCAUACGGUCUAAUAAAACGUGGACUCAACUUGCCCUUUCUACGAAAUCUAAAAACCUUUUUCCAUGGAGACACUUUCAAAAAUACCUUAUCACUAACCUGAAACUCAAUCUCUUUUCGUUUCAAAUCUGCAUAAGAUUUCUGUCUAUCCGAAGUAGCUUUCAAACAAUCACGUUUUAUCUUUACCUUUUUUUCAAUUUUUCUGACUAAAUCAACUUCGUGAUUCUGAUUCUCUCUAAGUUUGGUCCAAUACAUGGGAGUUUGGAACUUACGCCCAUAUAAUGCCUCAUAUGGUGCCAUUUUCAAACUUUUCUAGAAACUAUUGUUGUAGGCAAAUUCUACCAAUGGUAAAUACUUUUCCUAACUACCUUGAACUCUAAUACACAACAUCGAAGCAUGUCUUCAAAUAUUUGAGUUACUCUCUCCGACUUACAGUCGGUUUGUAGAUGGAAAGCAGUACUAAAGUUUAACUUUGUACCCAAAGCCUCUUGUAACUUUUUCCAAAACUGUGAAUUAAACCUCGAAUAUCUAUACGAUAUAAUCG
rnacentral:lncRNA from 1 species